rnacentral:lncRNA from 1 species
GCUCUUCCUGUGCGCAUGUGUAACCGGAAAUGACACUAGACUGCAGGAAGGGAGGGAGGAGAGAAGGACUGGAAGGUGGGGGCAAACCAAACCAAAUGGUGUUGGGGUUGGCGACGUACGUAAGGCAGACAUCAGCCUGUGGCUAGCUGCGUUUCUUGGGACAAAAAAAAAAAAAAAAAAAAACGCCUGCACUCUUUCAGCCGUAUGCGCGUGCAUGCAUGGGGGCGCACGAGAUCGAUCGAUUGACAGACAGGCGACUUCCUAUGCAAAAUUUUGUCGCAAGUCUAGCUACGGCGCACACACGCUAACACACGCGCGCGCGCGCGCACACACACACCUGCACCUCAGCUCUCUCCUCCUCUCCCUCAUAUACAUACUCCAUGUGUGUGUGCAUCAUCAGCUGCUGCUGCUGCUGCCUGCAGUGAACAGCAGCAUCAGUCGUCGUCUGCUCGCACCAGUCUCCCUCUAGCUACAUGCAUGCGUAGCUCACACUGGGGAGAUUCCAGCUGCUGCCUGCUCCUGCUCCUGCAGCCAGCUCCCGGCGAUGUCGGCGGCGGCCCUGAGCGCGUCAUUGCCCGCGCCGAGAAGGCCCUUGCCGGAGAACCCGAUGCAGUAGAGCCCAUUGGGCCCUCUCCAGUUGCUGCUCGCGGGGCUCCGAGCCCGCGGCUUCCCGUCCUCCGUGAAGAACCCACCAGCGUCCUGCACGUUCGCAGUGUAGUUCAGAACUUUAGAUUGCAUCUCUUUUGUGCUUUGGUUGAGAGACGAUGGUGGAUGGAUGUUGUUACCUGGAGCCAGGACGGGACGUUGCUUCUGUAGCCGGUGGCGAAGAUGACGGCAUCGAACGCCAUCUCGCUGCCGUCCACGAACCUUGCCCCGUUGCAGCCCAGUGACUCCACUUCUGCCACCACCUGUUACACAAUCCAUCAGAAACCUCACAAGUGCACAUGCUGACAUGCAUGCUUGCCGUAAAUUAAAUAUUACUCUACUAAGUUUGAAGUCAAAAAGAGUGUGCACACUACUGUACGGGGGGAACUUGUUGCUACUCUAGCUGGCUGGCUCCUGGCUAGACCACAUUGCAAGCGAAGGUUAAUUAUUACGCGAGUGAGAUCGAUCGAUCGAUCAUUGGAGAACGAAUAUGCGACAGUGGGGGAUCUAUUUUUGUUGUUGUGCAAGCUCUGUUUUGUCCCCACGUCUAAUUUAUUUCGUCCCUGCGUCGUGGACAAGGGGCGACAUCUACCAAAAGUACACCGCAGACGACGUACGGCUGCUGCUGCUGCUGCAUCAUCAGGGCAGGGCAGGGCAGGAGUGGUAAAGGCCAGCCAAAAGAUCGAGGUAAAACGGUAAAUCACUAGCUCACCAACAAGAGCUAGGGAGAUCGGCCAGAAGCAGGCCAGAACGUUGUAGAAACCUCAAAAGUGGUGGAAAGUUGGCAUGGCAUGCACAAGAAACAACUCUCUGUUGACGCUUCCCCAACCACGCCCUAUAGCUAGCUUUUUCUAGAUAGGGAGAGAGAUAAAGAGAAGGAGAAGUAACCGUAACCAUACCUUGAUGUUUCCAGAUUUGAUCAAGGACCAUGCUCCCACGUCGAGAACAGGGCUCUUCCCGGUCACGUCCUUGAUCUCCAGCGGGCCCAGCUUGGGCCUCUUAAGCCCGUACUUUUCGGUAUCCCCCAGGGCCAUCUUUGCAGCCAAGAGGAGGAGCCUAUCGACCAGCUUUACCGGCAGCCAUCGCAGUAGCUUCAUGGCGAUGCCAAAUGUUGAGGACCAAAGCAUCUCUCGGGGUAAAACAUGCACCUGUUUUCAUCAUUGCAAACAAAUAAUCUGAAUUAAUUCAAGUGCAGGAUGUUGAAAUACGGUAAGUAGCAUGUAUAAUCUUGUAGAGAAAGACCAUAUAUAGCUAGCUCACAUAUAUAGGAGUAUUUCACUAACACACAGCUAGAGAGAGAAAGCAGGGUUCUAAAUGGAAGCUAAUAUAAGUACUCCAGCAGAUAACAUAACAUACUACGGAAGAGGUUUCCGGGCAGAGCAGAGCAUAUUCUGUUUAUAGAAAGACAGAGAGGCCAAACUUGACAUAAGAAUAUAAUAAUUCUGAAAAUAGCAAGCGCAACUAACACUGUACUGAACAAAACUAAAUACAGGAUAAACUGAUCUUAAAACAGGUAAGCAUUGCACCCUAUAUGCAUCUUGUUGUCAGCAGAAAGACCAAGAAAACAAGUGCAACUGUACCUUCACCACAUCUUAAGAAAGCAAAAAAGUGUAAGCCACUAUUAUGUAAAUCAAUAAAAAAAAUCAAGCAGGGCACCGUGCAUCAAGAAAAAACCAAGAAACUAAUUAAUAUAUGGAUCCCAUGAGAAGGCUGGGAGUGGCCAUAGGACGUACUUACCCCACUCCUAACUGACAUGAAAGGGAUUGCACCAUGCUCACAGAGGUCCAAGCACAUCUCCAUCCCUGAGUUGCCACACCCCACGACCAGCACCCUCUUGCCCUUGAACCUCUCCCCGCUCUUGUACUCGCUCGAGUGCAACACCUCCCCGGCAAACCUCUCCCUCCCCUUCACCUUGGGCACCACCACCUCCGCGUUCUCCCCGCUGGCCACCACCAGCCACUUGGACACGUACUCAGUCACCUCGCCGCCGUCCGCAACCGCGGUGACCCGCCACAGAGCCGCCGCCUCGUCGAACCGUGCCUGCGUCACGGCACGGCCGAACAGUGGGGCGAUGGAGAAGUGCGCCGCGUAGGAGUGGAGGUAGCGGAGGAAGUCGUGCUUGCUCGGGUAAAUCGGGAAGUCGGGAGGGAAGCGGACGUGUGGAAGCUCGCAGAACACCUUGGGGAGGUGUAGGCGGAGCCGGCCGUAGGUGCGGUUCGUCCAGAGAUCGGCAAUGCCGUUGGAGCGCUCGAGGAUGGUGAAUGGCACAGAGUGCUGGCGAAGGGUGGCCGCCACGGCAAGGCCCGAAGGACCGGCGCCAACGAUGAUAGGGCCAUUCACAAGGCAGGAACUCUGCCUAGGGCUCGUUCCGUUAGCUUGCUCUUGCAUGAUCGACCGAUCGAUGGAUCGAGAAUCGAUCAAUAGGCUAUGAACUUAUAUAUAGCUAGGCACACAAACACACAACUCUCUCUUGGAAGAAGCUCACACUCCUAAGCUCUCGUGGAACUGGAUGAUCACACCUCGCUCCUAGCUAGCUAUAGUCCUCUGCCUCUCUCUGAAAGAAGCUAGCUAAAAGAUGUAGGCAGGCACAACCUAAGCUGCUAGGGAAAUCAUCUUUUUGCCUCUCCUCUUGCAUGCACUACAGUGGUACCAGUGUAAAGCAUGGAGGAGGAGAAAGGUGUGAUCAGAACCUAUUUGGCUACCUCAAUGAGCUCAGUGUGAGGGUCCAUCUCCCCUAUAUAUAAGGAGAAGUGAAUAUAAAGGGACAGCUUACAUUGUACAGAGCUAUUUUUAUGAGUACUGUCACUACUGUUGGAAUGAUUGCCACCAAUCUUUUCCGGACAAAAAGGAAAGUGAAAAUAACAAUACUUUAUAUCUUAUAUUUUUGAGUAAAUUUCACAAAACCACAUUUCUCGAGGCUAGCGUUUCAUCGGGCCACAGUUAUCACUAAUAGUUUCACAGAACCACAGUUUUUUGGGCACUCUGUUUCACAGAACCCAAAUCAGGUAGAUUAUGUCGUUUAAUGGUUUUUCUGACAGGUGGGCCCACCAGUCACACGCCACCUCAAGCGAACAACCCGUUUCGUUGCCAUAUCAGUUCCUGGACCCGACCCGAGAUGACGAUUUAGGUAGAGAAAUAACCUUUAACGGGUCCGGAUGGAUCCGGAAGCUGAUGUGGCAACGAAAUGGGUCUGUCGGACUUGGCAUAUGUCAAGUGGGUCUCGCCUGUCAAAAAUACCAUCAAACGGUCCAAUCUACCUAAUUUGGGUUCUGUGAGACAGCUUGCCCAAAAAACUGUGGUUCUGUGAGACUAUUAGUGAUAACUGUGGCACAAUGAAACCCUAACCCCAAAAAGUGUGGUUUGUGAAAUUUACUCUAUAUUUUUACUUGUUUAUUUAUUCAUAGGCAUUCCUAGAACCCAGAGAUCAAAUCAUAUGAGAUCUUGUCAUGCAAUGCACUUUGACAAACUAACCAUGUAUGUGCCCCUGUCAGACGAUGCAUGAACAUUGUUUCCAGUGUUGGAUCUUCAUAUCUAGAGGUGAAUCUUUCGUAUAUAGUAGUGGUCCUUGGUUUGCGUAGAUUCAGCCAAUCAUUUCUUUGUCUGCUGAAAGGAGGGAUGAAGGAGUCGAUUUGUUAAUAUGGGUAAUGCUCACAUAUCCAUGCUGCAAAAUAUAUAUUUUACCCUUUUGGAUAGCAUGGAAGCACACUUCAAUGAAGAAACGUUGCUUUAUAACGAAGGGAAGGGAGGGGAGACCCAUACCAUGAUACCAAGCCCUAUACCAUGCAUCUUGUUAGCAAGUAGGCAAUGCUGAUCCGGACAUUCUGCUAUGUACCUGACAGGGCAACCCUGCAGGUCAACCCUUCGCUUGAAAAUAAGAUCCAGAAGUUUUUUAUAGCUUAUGCGAUUAGUCUACUUACCUAUUUACUUGGGGAUAUGAUCGUUAGUCGCUACUUAAUAUCUACACACAGACUAGAACCAUGGCAGUGCAAUAGGAUGGAGGAAAGGUGCAGAAAUAAAAGACCAGCCUCAUUAUUGCAUAUAAAAUGCGGAAAUGUAAUGUGUUUAAUUCCCAUCAGAUAAGAAAUUGACAAAAGAUGCAUAUUGAAAUUUGGAUGCAAGUCCCCGUCAAAAUAUUUGGAUGCAAGUGAGUACAAGUUUCCACCGUGUGAAUGUGUGAUAUAGCACAGUCAGGAAAUUAACUCUGUGAUCCUGAAAGUUGAUAUGGUGAAGUACUCUACUGUGUUUGAUAGAUAGUACACUAUGUAAGGAUCUCGUUGUCACAUGGAUGUUGACAAUUGUGUAAUAUGACUUGGAUGUUCACAUCAAGCUUCGUUCACAUCAAAAGCAUCCUAUCUAUUGUGUUCAAGAAUUUAAUGUCCGAGAUAGAGGUGACUAGUUCAUUUUCAGUGAAAUUAAUGUUAGCAGUUUAAUGUGGAGGUUGUUCAUGGUUGCAUAAGAUUGUGUCAGGAUAACUAAUUAACAAUGAAGGAAAUUGAUUUUGCUUUUCCUAUGUUGAUGAUGCUAACAGAAACACCAAUCAUUCUGCAUGGUGAAGGUGCAUUGUUAAAUUAUGACUUCUGAGUAACAGGAUACUGGAAACUCAUUCUAACCUGGUCUUAACUCCAAGGCAAUUUAAACAACAUUCAACAAAGCAAAACGAAGUACUCCUACAAGGCUUCAGAGAAACUACUGGUAAUAAAAAAGAGCGGUGAACAUAAAUACUGAGCACACCUUCCGCAGAACAGAGCGCACAAAGGCUUCAGGCCUUCAGUUGAUCCCCUGCAUCCGCUGGAGCAAUCAUCUCCAUGGCUAGGAUGGCAAAGUUGCUGCUCAAACUGAUCCCUGUAUAACUAUUGGAACAAAGAUUCCUUGAGAAAGGACUCAUCUUCGUGGCUCAGGCAUUUCCACAAACACGUUGUGCGCAAGCUGCUGGCACGCAACACCAUGAAUCCAGGGCUUGCUCCGGUCUGCGAGAUCGAACAUGGAUCCGGGAUUAGGGUUUCUGUGACAGAAUCUAGGUCUGAUCGAGACAACGCAUGAAGGGUCGCCGGGUUCACCAUCUUCCUUUCGACUCGCCGUGAUCCGAUCGCUACGCGGCGCACAAAGCGCUCCUCCGCGCCAACGCAACUGAAAAAAAAAACUGUACGCGGUGCCUUUUUGUUUACAGGAAGCGCUUUCCAGCGGAGAAGACGGGCUGCGGAAGCGCACCGUUUCGAAGGCAGAACUGUCGAGCUGGGCUGAAAUCGUUUCAGUUGAAUUACGCUAUCCAGGCCAGAAGGCGGAUAACAUUAAUUUUUUUGUUUUGGAGAGGAGACAUUAAAGUUAUGCGGGGCAGGUUGCUGACGCCAAUUAGAAAGAGCUUAGACGACUGAUGGAUCAAACAUUUCGAUUGUAAACCAAGGAAUCAAAUCCCAACAAGUAACGCUGCACAGAAAACUCAUGAGAUCGAAUAUAGGAGUAUAUCAUCACCCUCGAAGUACGUAUUACGUUUUUGCCGGUUUUUGAUCGGCUGAUACCCAAUAUGCGCUUUUCGCAAUGCGCCUGUGGCAAGAUGAGUUCAACUGUAGGUAGUCACAUACACCCAUGCAUGAUUAUUGGCCGUAUGUCCACGUUCUUAAUUCGUUAAAGCAUGUGGGCCCCUCUUUAUCACCUCCUCGAAUAAUAUUAUUGUUCGUGUUCGAUCAAUCCAUGAGUACAAUGCCACAAGUUUUGAACAACAUGUGGCAUCCUUUUGGAUCGACCGUACAUAUCUCUGUUGAAUUUCGUAGUACUCCGUAGCACAUUACAAGGUUCAAAAUUAAGAUCGAGAUCAAGUAACGCACCGAGUAACCUUUUAAUUCUGCCGUGUUAUAGCGAAACAGAGACCGAGGCGGUGAAAUCCUUGGCUUGAGCCUCACCUCGAUCUCUUUUACCGUUCGAUCGAUAUAGGGAUUUCCCCUUGUUUUCCCUUUACCACUCCGGGCCGGGCGCCCCCUGAUUCUUCUCGCCUGUGUUGUCUAGUCCACCUGACGCGUGAACUGACGGGCGAUCCCUGUUGCUUUGCCACAGGAUGGACGCUACGUUACGUACACACCUGUAUUCUAUUGGGGCAGGGCAGUUCGUGGUGCACCGAUCGGACUGUUCGGUGGUCGCCAUGACGCCCAUGCAUUACGGACUGUGCAAAUGCCACGGCUCGCUAGCUCGCAGAUCACGUCAGUGCUCAGAGGAGACCUUACCCAGGAUGACGACGGCCUGACAACAGAGAGAGAGAGAGAUAGCUUGAGUUUGAAGUUGGGUGUAUGUACGUAUGGAUAUGGAUAAUGUAUUCAUAUCUGCAGAUCGAUGCAUGACAGCGAGCGGCAAAGGGGAGGUGAUCAGAAGAACACUGUUCGAUCUGCAGUGUAUAUACAAGAGUCAGGCCAAUUAAUAGCCCAAUGUGUUGAUCAUCGAGCAACAAAUGAUGCGCCUUUGAGGGUGCUCUAACAAUACUUCUUACUAUAAAAGAAUAUCGUGUAAAUUUUUGGUGCUGUGGGGAGAAGAAAUGAAACAAACCGAAACAUUUUUGGUAGUGUCUAUUUCUCAGUCGUCUAAGAAAUAGCAAUCGUAGCCAUCAGUUGAAGAUUUUCUUAUCCAUCGUACCUACAUUAAUUUUACAGGAAUCUCAAUGAUCGAAUCAAAGGUUGUUAUAAUAGACUAAAAGAUAAUUAUUUAUUAAUCGCUUAAGAAAUAGCAAAACCGCAUAAGUAAAAGUAUUCUCUUGUUGCAAGAAAACACAAAAGCUUUGCAUAUGGAUGCAUUGUUACGAAGGAAAGAUCAAGUCAUGCAGGAGUCCAAAAGGACAACACUCCGAAAUUGCAACGCUACAUGACUAGGUGAGUUUGACGGGAGCAGUGGCUCAUUCGCCCCAGAACAGUCCAACUUCUAGGGUUGGAGAGGAGGGUGAUAUCGGGAGUCGUGUUGUUCACUAAAUUCACGAUAAGAUUAUAGUUUGGAGCAUAAACAAAUUUAGUGUUCGGCUUACGUGAGAAACCAGGGGAGGGCAGUUUAUGGUAGAAGCUGAAAUUACGCGGAAAAAAGGCGUACAACGACGGUCUUACUGGGUCGACCCAACGGAUCAUACGGGUCGACGAUUCCUGGCUCUGCGGGCUCAAUAUCAGUUUUGUACCGACGGCCCAACAGCCCAAUGGCUUUGAAUUUCGGUCGGACCAGUGACCCAAUGGGUCUCCUUGGCCCAUCCCCAUCCCUAACUAUCCUCAAUCUCACCGGUCCAUCGGAAAAGAGAGAAAAAAACCGUCAGCCGCCGGUGCCGCCACAGCCAGGCCUCCUCCUUGCCCCUUGGCUCCUCCCUGCUCCGGCCACCGGUGACCGCAGCCUUCACCCUUCACUCCCCCGCCACAGCCAGGACUCCUCCCUGCCCCUUCCCCCGCUCCGGCCACAGCCACAGGUGAGCGCCGCCUUCACCCUCCACUCUCCCGCCACCACUCAUCGAAUCCAUCCAGGGCUCCUGCCUCUCGUCCCGCCGUCGUGUCGAGUGGAGGAGGUUUAAAUCUUUAUAUAGCGAUUAGUACUUUGUUAUGAUUAUUAUUCAUGUUUUUUCGUUGUUGCGGCAACCCCGUCUCCUCUAUUCUUCAAUUAGCUCCAUGCUUGAUGCUUUCUAUGCUCCCCUCGAUGCUGCUCAGCUCAUCGUGUUGUGAUGUUGUGGGUCGGUAGUGCCAAUGAAAUAUCAUUUUAGUGCUGUUGGCAGGGGAUAGCAAUGAAAUCUGGUGGUAUGUUAGUGUCUAGGUUGUGUUUUCUGUUGCUUCCCUUUUAUAGUUGCAUCUACAGACUUCUGUUCUGUUUAAUGCCCACAACCAAAACAUCACGGCGGCUGGGUGCCUAGGCCACAUUUUACAACAUCUCUAAGCCUUUGCCCUGUUUAAUCAUGAGUGAAGGACAGACACUAUCUUUGUGGUUUCAACCCAAAUGAAUUGAUUUACACAUUAGAAUUUUUUUUACCAGUUUGAUACUUUUAUUUAAGAUUUUUGGGUUGUAGGAAUGCUUCUUUCGGUAUGUGCAAUUAAUGCGUAUUGCAGAGGUAAUUUCAAGAAAAUAAAUUAUUUUGUUGGCAAUUAAAUGAACUGAUUUCAAAUCAUACAUUCUGUGUUCCAGCAAUAUCAGGGAAAUUUUGAGGCAUGGAGGACGAAGAAAACAUCGAGGAAGAACUUUUGCUGGUGGAGUCAGAACUCCAUGGCCUACAAGGUUUCAUCACUAACCUCCAUCCACUAUAUAUAUUUAUAGAUAUGCUAUCUCUUGAUCCAUCAAGAUUCCUCUGUUAAAUGAGUUUCAUAGUCUAUAGCUUUUACAUAACAACUCAUAUAUGCAAUAACAGUGUUACAGCCAAGAAUGUGACUAUGUGAGACACAAAGCUAACGUGUAGAACACCAUAUCUAGUUUCCAAGCGCACACCAUCAUUGUGUGGACAUUGCCAAGUAUACUAGCCUGUACAACACCACCAAAUAUCUGGUCGUUUGAUUGUGCCCCUGUGGCCCAAGGAUCAGCAACAACACCUUUUUAGGGAACUGAAAAAUACCAAUCAAUGAUGAUACCCUCAGUACUCUAUCUCCACAUACGUGAAAAGGCACUACCUGUUUUCAGACAAGUUACAUGCAACCGCAUUUGUCUUCAGAUUCUAAAAUGUUUGAACAAGGCAACUUGUUCAACAUAUGGUCACAUGCGGAGGGGCUAAAGUCACAAGGUAUAUUUUGGUCUCGGAGUAACUUCAUUUCCUCUUUAUCUCUGAUUGUAAGGGAUCUGUUGGUUGUAAUGAACAGCAGGUUUAACUGUUACAGUGGAAUGAGGCUGGUUACUCUGGUUCCUAGGCCCAAGCUAUGAGAGUUGCACUGAUGUUCUUUUAUCAGCAUGCCAUUUUUCACAUUUUCCCUACUACUAAUGCACUUGGCCCUGGGCCCAUCUUGUUUUCUUGAAUUUGAUGUUAAAGUGUGUUUUGGAUAUUAUUUUUCCUGCUAGUGGUGCUAACUCAAACAUAAAAUCAAACCGCCACUGGCCAUCUUUUCCCGUGAGCUAAUCUUCCUCUUAAAAUUCAUUAUGUGCAGACAAAAUCAAAAUGCUACUUGAUCGCCAAGAAGAAUUGUAUGAGCGCCAAUCACAGUUGCAGGCUUUGCUAGAAAUAUCUAAAACUUCCAGAGAUGCAGCAAGUAGUGCCCCUUCAGUUGCUCCGGAAGACUGGUCCGGAAAGUUUUCAUGGGAUUCUCAGGCUGACGACAUUCGAUUUAAUGUAUUUGGUAUAUCCUCCUACAGAUCAAACCAACGAGAAGUAAGUUUGUAGCAUGAAUAAUAUGUUGUUUUGAUGUUUCCUCUGCUUCGGAACCUCUUGAAGAAUCUUAUUUUGUCGUUCUUCAGAAGUUCAGAUAUGUUGCUCAAAGUGGGCAAUUUUGACCUCUGUUCCUUUGAUGCCCUUCAUUGUUUAUCUCCCAUUUCUUGGUUGUGUUGAGACUAAUUUAUAUACCAGAACCUAUCUCAGUUCUGUUACUUUUCCCUUAAUUUGCAUCCUUUUAAGCAUACUGUCCUUCCAGAUAAUCAACUCAAUCAUGAGUGGAAAAGAUGUUCUGGUUAUAAUGGCUGCUGGUGGAGGGAAGAGCCUAUGCUAUCAACUUCCAGCUGUACUUCGUGAUGGAAUUGCACUUGUCGUCAGUCCUUUGCUUUCGCUUAUUCAGGACCAGGUUUUAAAUGUUUUUCUUUUGUUUUCUUUUGUUGCUAUAUAUGUGUUCGUUCUCACUUGGUGAUUCGUACUGUUUUAGGUCAUGGGACUGACAGCUUUAGGUAUACCAGCGUACAUGUUAACUUCCACUACCAACAAGGAAGUUGAGAAGUUAAUCUAUAAGGCACUUGAGAAAGGUGAAGGGGAAUUGAAGAUAUUAUACGUGACACCUGAAAAGAUAUCCAAAAGUAAAAGGUUCAUGUCUAAGCUUGAGAAAUGCCAUCAUGCUGGGCGUCUUUCUCUUGUUGCAAUAGACGUGAGUGAUGAUAUUUUCUCUCUGUGUUGCGAGUGCCAAAAUGAAAGGUCUAGUCUUUUAUUUUAUGUUCGGAUAUCAAAUUUGCUGGUUCCAUUCAGCAAUACAUCAUCGAUAACACUCGUACGUUGUCCACCACACAGUGCAGCAUCUUUGUGCUGGUUAAAGCAGGGUCGUCUGUGAUACUCGUAGUCUCUCAAGAAUUUACUACUCCCUCAUAUCCAUAUUACUUGUCGCAGCUUUGUCUAGAUAAGCAUGUAUCUAGACGCGUUUCAUUGUAUAGGUACAUGCAUAUCUAGACAAAGCACAAGUAAUAUGGAUUGGAGGGAGUAUUUACGUUCUGCUGGUUAAUGUGGAUAAUGUGCUUGUACAUGCUUACUCAGUCAGUCCCUUACAAUUCACUUUUUAGUUUGGGUAUUUUGCCUAUUAAAGUAUACUAAACUUCCACUCGUUGACUAAAAGUACGUUUACUUCUAAUAAUUUAAGGCCUAUUUUGUACUCCUGUUUACUCAUCACUCAUACAAGAAGAGUAAUUGAUCCCGAUUAUUUUUUGAAGUUCAACUGUAAGAGUUGCGCGAUUGAAGUCUGACAGUAUAUAGAUAUAUAAUUUUUACAAAGUGAGACACCAAAGUGCGACCUUCGAGGAUCGAACUCUGGUGGGCUGCUAGCACACCUAGCUGGCUGACCACCUAAGCUAUGCUUGGUUCUCAUUGAUCCCGUUUAUUCUGUUGAGUGUUGACUGUUCAUGUUAGAGCUGAAAUUUUUGGGAGCGUAGCCUGGAGGGGAGGAUUAGAUCUUAAUUGACGGGAGAACACUUGGGAGCCAUGGAAGAGAAGGUGCAACUAGGGGCUGUACGUGUGUGUGUGUGUGGAGAGAGGGAGAUUCCUUCUAAUUCUUUGCUUGAUUGAUUCAACGUGUGCCUACCUCAUUGUAUACAGGGUUUGCCUUACAUAUUCUGGAUUCUGAAUAGAAAUAGACCAGGAGUCCUAGUCAAAGUUUUAUAUUCGGGCUAUAGCGCAGCAAUAGUGGUCUACUCUGAGCAGAGUUCAGCUAUUUGCAUAUAUUUAUAAUUUAGCAGCUAUAUCGGGCUAUGGUGCCAUUUAGCUCCUGGAGAGGGUUGCCACUAAACAUCACAGCCCGCUAUUUAAAACUUUGGUCCUUAGAACACAAACUGGACCUUUAUAGUGAUAACUCCUCCUUCAAUAGGAAUUACCACUGAUACAAGACUUUUCCUAAUCUGAAUUGCUGCAUGGAUCCUAAGCUGGUUCAGCUUCCUCCGGCAAUGCUGCAGCUCCUGUAUUGGGCUGCGGCUGUAGAGCAGCAACAACGCUUUUAUGUUUGUCCCCACAUAAUAGCCCACAGUUUAUGAGCUGCCAUUACUUCGUAUUGUUUGCAGUAUGUCUGUCAUGAAAGAAUUACUUAUGAAGUUGUGCCUUCAAGCACAAUGCCAUCUAUCGGGAUUUUUCCAUUGACGGCUAUUGUGUAGGAGGCACACUGCUGCAGUCAGUGGGGGCACGAUUUCCGUCCAGACUACAAGAAUCUGGGCAUUUUGAAGAUCCAGUUUCCCAGCGUUCCCAUGAUAGCUUUAACUGUGAGUUAUACAAGUGAGCUCAAGUUUAGAAGAAGUAAUUUUUUGUGAAACAUAACCUUUUUUUUGUGCAGGCAACUGCAACGAGUAAAGUGCAAAUGGAUUUGAUAGAGAUGCUUCAUAUCCCUAGAUGCGUCAAGUUUGUCAGCACUGUUAACAGGCCCAACCUUUACUAUAAGGUAUGCUUUAGUUUACUUUUCUGGAUACAACCAUGAGAACGUCAUGCAGAAGCAUGCAGGAUGGGAAAAUGGGAUUAACUAGUUUACAUGUUCGCCAUGUAGGUAUAUGAGAAAUCAUCAGUUGGGAAGGUUGUUAUUGAUGAGAUCGCAAAUUUCAUAACCGAAUCAUAUCCAAAUAAAGAAUCUGGAAUUGUGUAUUGUUUUUCUAGGAAGGAAUGCGAACAGGUUUUGUGGACUGACCCAUGGAUGCUUUCAUUUCUAUUAUUUGCUGAGAUGUAAACUACUGUCUGGCUAUCCAAUAGCUGUAUCUCCCCAUUUGGUUUUAAUGUGUGUUUUACAAUUUACAUUCUUUCAGAGUUUACGCUAUCUAAUAGGUCAUAGAGUUCUGCUUUAUUUUUAUCAUGAUUAAACUGUACACUAGUUGACUCAUGAAUGCUUGAAAAGUUGAAUAUAUCGAAUCUUGGUAAGAGGGACUACCUCCGUCCAGGUUUAUAAGGCCUAUAUUGGGUUUUGUGCCAAAUUUUGACCAAGAAUUAUACAAAUAUCAUUUAAGAUGUGUAUAUAAAAGUUAUAUCAUUAGAAAAAGUUUUCCAAUAUGAAUCCAACGAUAUCUUUUUUGUGUCACGAUAAACUUGUAUUACUAAUGUAAUUUUUGGUCAAAGUUUGGCAUAAAAUUCUGUGCGGGCCUUACAUACCCGGACGGAGGGAGUAAUUAAUUAGGGAUAGAAGUGUUACAGUAGAUAAGCAUUUUCGUAAAUUAUAUAAUGGUGAGUUUCAUAUGCUAAUGCGAGUUCUUGUUGAUAGAUCUGCCAGUCAAACGUGACUCAUUCUUGUAGUUUAAAGUAGCGAUUCAUUUUCUGCAGUCUGGACCAGCGUCAUUUGCCUAGGUCCUCCCUCUGAUUUUGUUAAAGUCGUGCGCUUUACUGACAAACAGGUUGCGAAAGAACUGCGUGAAAGGGGUAUUGCAGCAGAUUAUUAUCAUGCAGAUAUGGAUUCUGUUGCUCGUGAGAAAGUUCAUAUGCGGUGUGUUCAAAACUGUAUUCAUUUUUUCUGAGCUUAAUUUUCUCUACUCAGAUCAGUUUCUGUUAUUCCCAUUACGAAUAAACCAUAUGCUUAUAACUACAUAAGGAUAGACCUUAGAUAGUUAAAGAUGUGUUCGGAGAAUUCCGCUAAUCGACUUCAUGAGUCUCCCUGUGUGAAAAAUCCUAACACCUACGAUUUCUUCAAAUGUCAUGCUGAUAGUGAUAGAUUUCUCCAGAAGUUGAUGGCAUUACUCAUUGUACUCAUUCAGGAUCCAUAAAACAAAGGUGACCUCUGUGUUCAUAUCUGAAAGAUAAAAUGAAUUUUGUAUAAGUAGCACCAGCUUGGGUGAAAACUCAAAACCUGCUGGCUUUUGGAGGGACACACAACUCUCCUGACAGCCAUUUAUUUGGGAAGCAAAUGACGUAGAUUUUUUUUCUGGCUAUACUUUUCUAUGAAAAAUAGAUAGGAAUUAUAUCUGAAUUAAAGUCUACAGUCUAAUAAAACUAUGCUUGAUAACCGCGUGUCCAACUGAUCAACCACUCAUCGGAAUAGUGUACCAAUGAGCACGAGUAGCAUGUUCCUGGCCUGAAUCCUAAGCUGGAAAUUAUAAAGUUGUGUUCAUGAACACAUUUUGUGUGUUGGGAGCAUUCAAAUAUUGAUGCAAGAAUAAUUCUAAAAAUUAAUAUUUCAUUUAGCUCCACUUUAGUGCAUUGAUUUUGCUGUUUGUAAAUCUGUAUUUAAACCUGCAUAUGAGCUCUUUUGUCUCUUAUGGGCCUAUAACUAGUCCACUGUUAAUUUUCAACAGUUGGAGUAAAAGCAAAUCACAGGUCAUUGUUGGAACAGUACGUGUUCUCUUUUAUCUCUCUCAUACACACAGACACCAGUAUCUCCCCCCCCCCCCCCCCCCCCAGGGCAUCUAACAUGUCUAUUACAUUAUGUAGGUGGCAUUUGGAAUGGGAAUCAACAAACCAGACGGUGCGUUCAGUUUUGGACUUGCAUCAUAAUGACAUGUGCUUGCUCAAGACAUAGAUUCACACUUAAUUAACCUAACAUAUGCCCCCACCCAACUCCUCACUCUAUGUUCCGAUUUAUCUAUUUCUUGGAUUGUCGAUAGUAGUAGGCUCGCCACAAUCUCGACACCUCUCUCCUGCCAUGUGUCCUCUACAUCUCCUCUCCUGACACAGCAGUGGCACCAUUAAAUUGAGGGAAUAAUGCAAGGGAGUCAAGGCCGAUGCUAACGGAGAGGGAGGGAGGGCCAGGGACCUGUUGGGGUGGUAGGACAGACAGAAAGUGUGCAACAGCCUAGAGCCCUAGAGGCAGUGCAGAGGUUGGACGGAAGCCAAUGGCACCAACCAGCACAACUGCAGUGUGGUUGGGAGCUGAGGCCAGUGCAGAUGGAGAGAUAAGAGGGUAGUUGAGCACAGUACGAUUCCUCGCUGUCUAGUGUUGUGUUACUGUAGUAUGCAUGCACUGUUUGCGUAGGACCGCCGGUGCUGCGUUAGUUGGAAGUAGAGAAGAUUUGAGUUAGAUUAUCGUUAACUAUAGAGUUACAUUGGAUUGUAGAGAGUUUGGGUUAGGUUGAAUUGCCAGAAAUUAGGCCUCUUUGAUUCAAAUACAUUUCGAAGGAGUUUGUAGGAUUUCUCAAUUCCAAGGGAACUCUCUAGAGUAUGGAAUAAUCUCUUGGAAAAAUUCAUAUGGCUCACGGGUUUCUAUGUUUUCUUAUGGUAUGGAAUAUUGCAUUUCCCCCCUAUUCCUGCUAUUUUGGAAUAUUGUGAAUCAAAGAGGACCUAGAGUUUGAAUUAUGUUGGAUUGAUAGAGAUAAGAGUUUGGGUUAUAUUGGAUUGUUAGAUAUAGAUUUGACUCUUAGGACACUAUCGUCACACUAGAGGUAGCCAAAAGGCGUGGAAGUUGAAUCACUUAUACAUGUCUGUCGGUAUUAAAUGUCUUUCCGAGAUCAUUGACCUGCUUGCACCCCCAUCACAAAUUGCGGGACCUAUGGUGCGAUGCUCUUUGCUACUCAUCUCCUUUGUCUUCAGAAUCUUAUUAAUUGCUACUGUAUUAUAGAUUCAUGUUCUAGCCUAGUAAGAGAUGAUUAGCCGUCCCAUUUAGUCAUUUAUUACAUGUGUUAAUGCCUUUUAAAUUUUCCUAGAAUAUUUGCACAUGGAUUCUCUUGUAUAACCCUGAUUAAUAGGGCCUCCCAGUGGUGUACUAAUUGCUGAGUCUGAAGCUGUUGGACUAGUGAUAUACAGCAUUUAGGAUUAUUAUGUUUGCUGCUAUAUUAAAUACUAAUGUCAUUUUGUCUCUGCAGUCAGGUUUGUGGUUCAUCAUAGCCUUAGCAAGUCUAUGGAGACAUACUACCAGGUACAUCUAAUGAUCCAAAUAUCAUGUUCUUCAGUUGUCUGACCAUUUGGUCCCUUAAAAUAGACUUCCGCGACUUCAGGAAAGUGGUCGGGCAGGGAGAGAUGGACUACCUUCAGAAUGUGUUUUGUACUACCGGCCUGGUGACGUUCCUCGCCAGGUGAGGCUAGAGCAUCUUCUUUUUAAUUUGUUGUGAGUUCCUAUUGUGAUAAUCCGACAUCCCUCUUUUUAUGUUCAAUGAACAGAGUUCGAUGGUCUUCUAUGAGAACUGUGGCCUGCAAAAUCUGUAUGACAUAGUACGAUAUUGUCAGGUAUAUUUUGCAAUCCUGACAGUGUGGAUCUUUAGAGCGCCAGAAAAUAGUAGAAACUACUCUUAACACUCUGUUUUCUUUACUUGGCCCCGUCCACAUGAAUUUCAUUGUUUUUGGUCUUUUUGGUACUAACAACCGUAACUCAAGCUGUGCUAUCUGUUAAAUAACACAUGGUCUGGGUAUUUGGAGAUAAUAUGAGUAUGAUAUUUUAAAAGCAACAUACAAGAACCUAUUACGUACCAUUCAGUUCUUCAUUAAUUCAAGCUCUACAGUAUCCCCUUGCCUGAGCGGGUAGAAAAGGAUAAUGAUUUUCAUUAAUGUUGUGCUACAUUUUGUUGCUUCUAGUCAUGUUGUGUGUUUGGCAGUAAUAUCUGAGUACAAGCUUCUUUAUUUUCCCCAGUCUAAGAAAAGCUGUCGUCGUGGCGCUUUCUUUCAACAUUUUGGAGAGGCUGUGCAGGAAUGCAACGGUAUUUUCUCAUUACUUGCGUUUGUCAAUAUCUGAACUUUCUGAAUAUUGAUAUUUACACAGUUUCUUGCAGGAAUGUGUGACAACUGUGCUUCUAGUAUUGAGCUCAAGGACAUCGAUGCUACCUGUAUGAUGAUUUUACUAUUGACACUGAAUGAGAUACUCUUCAAUUUAUAGCAAAUAAGUCUUGUGUGUGUAACUGUUUGUAUUUCCUCUUUAAUGCCAUGAUUGGUUAUGCGACUUCUUGUUCAGAUCAUACCAAAAUCAUCGUUUCACUUCUCCAAGACAUGCAACAUAAUGACCAGAGAGCUACAUUGCUGCAGCUGGUGGAUAAGUUCAAGACAAAGUGGAAACAUUCAGGUAAAUGUCCUCAACUAACUAUAUGUCUAUAUCGUUUUCUGAUUCCAGUAAUUUGGUGCAUUCUGCAUUUCAUGUUCUUUGCCUGGGUAAUGUGUCAUCACACCAGAUUCUUUAAGUAUCUCCCUUCAUCUGAGCUGACAUUACAAUUGCGAAUGCUCAAGCAGGUUGUUCAAAUGAAGCAGUUGAUCUUAAGAAGGAAGAAAUUGAGCAGUUGAUAGUUCAACUUAUAAUUGACCGUGUUUUGGUAUGUCAUUUCAAAUCUAAUGUUGGUUGAUGAAUACCUAAUGUUGUUCCUACUGGACUCCCUUUUUUGCAACAGUUUACACCAAUACCAAAUUUCUAUUUAUCUAUUCAAAGUUCUAUAAGAACUACUUCAGCUAGGGUUAUGAAAACCAGUCGUGGCUAAAGUUACAGGAUCUGCAAAAAUGCCAGAACUUAUCAGCUCUGUUUAUUCUUGCUUUGCUUUUUUUUAUAUAUAUAUACCUUAUAACUGUUCUGUAUCUUCACCACCUUGUAGAGUAGCUGUUUAAGGCAGAAGGCACAAUAAAAUAAAAUCAGAUACUAGUUGAUGUAGUUCCUGCCACCAGCUGGGGAAAAUCAUAACUCGGCAUUCAUUGGACUAACUGGGUUUUGGCAUUUGGGAGACCUGGCUGCAAAGCUGCAAGGAGCACCCCAUGGACCAAACAUCCCAUCAGAAACCUGGGGAUUGAGUAGACAUAAGAUAGAGAGCAUGAUGCGGAACAUAUUAAGUGCUACAGUUUCUGUUGAAAAUUAUUGAAUCAACAGAACACCGCUUAAUGCUCUUAACUAAACAAUUGGUCAACACUUUGCACAUCUGCAGCCUCUUGUUGCAUCUACAUUGUGGUGAAUAAACUAUAUUGUGCCACUGCGUUUUUGCAAGUUAAACAUUAGAGUUUGAGCAGUUAAACAUCUUCCAUUAUUUGCUUCGAUGUCCUGGAAAAGCAACAAUAGCUAAAACUCAUCCUUUUCCCUCGUAGAAAGAAGAAUUUCAGCAUACAGCAUAUACAACCAAUGCAUAUGUUGCCCUAGGACCACUGUGGAAGCUAGCAUUGCAAGGUAAUUGAUUUUUCUCUCCCACAAACUUUCCAUUUACUUUACCAUUGUUGCAUGGACGUCCUUGAGUACAUCAUGUAAAGGUACAAGCACCACUGUUUCCUUUGUUGCGAAAUGGAUCGUGAAGUUCCUUAUGCAUACUGCUAACUUCCGGCCUUUGAUCUAAUACUCUUCCAUGCCUUUCAACAUGGUAUGUUCAUAAGUUUUGUGUAGUAUGAUUGUGAAUAUGUUCUUACCAUACAGGAAACAGACCGGUGAAGCUAACUGGUGCCAUUCACUCUCAAGAUACUGGUGGUGCAUCCAAAAGUACAAAGCGUAGUCAGAUGAGCAAUUUGGAAGCUAAGCUUGAUGACCUGCGUAGAACUAUCUCUUCUGAUAAUGGAGGCAUAUUCCCCCAUGCAGUUCUGUCCACGCAGCAAAUUUCCCUGCUAAGCAGCCAUAAACCAACCACUAUAGCCGAGGUGAGUUUUGGUUGAACCUGUUUAUCCUUGUUAUUGUAAGACAGUAAGAGUGUAUCUCCAACAUGGACACACCUUUUCUAUCCUUUGCAGCUUGAAAAUCUUAUAGGGAAGGUAAAGGCGGACAAGUACGGCAGUGAUAUCAUUGAGGUGAUGCAGUCAGAAAUCGACGGUGGAAAGGACAGUGGUGAGAAUGGAGCUAAAAGGCAAAAGAAGGAUAAAGAUGUUGUUUUAGUUGAGAGUAGCGAGGAGGAAGCCUAACAUCAGCAUGGAUAAGUCGAGUGUGCAUGGUAACAUAAAUUUGAUUUGAUAGUUGCUGCUGCUGCUGCAUUAUGCCUUUGUUCUUGUUCUUUCUGUAAUAGCUGAAAUGGAAUGCCCUUGUGCCCACACCUCAUUGAUUUUAUUCUUAUUUUCUGUUAAUCGAUGCUUCGUUUUUAUUUACUUACCAUAUGACUUAAUGUUUCAGGUUGUGAAAUGUUUACACAAAUCACCCUACACGAGCAGAGUGGAAACAAAUAGUAUUAGCAAACAAGGAUGAGUGACCGGCAACGUGACAGUAGAUUUAGCGAGUUGCUUCUACUGUUCAACCGUAAUAUUGAUUCUCUAGGGGACAUACAUUGUUGAUUUGUAGUGCUGACCUGAAUGUUUCAUGUGAAAGCUGGCUUCCAUAUUUUGGUCUGAAUUUUUUUCCAAAACAUUUCUGGCCGUUUAAUUGAUUUGCUUUGGAUUACCGGGCUGAACAAGGAUCACCUGCUGCAUGUCGGUCUGGGGUUCACUUUUUGUAUUAUGGGAGCUGACGGUGGUUUCUCGUCAGUGAGCAAAGUGGAUUUGAUAGUUCCGGACGAGUUUAAGAAAUUGUCAUGACAGAGCCUUCAAUCAACAAUAAAUACUAGUAUGUGGCUUGUGACCAUGUUUUUGAAUACGAAUGUAAUGGCCAUGGUAUCAGUUUUAUCUCACAGAAAUUGCAUCCUCCUAACCAUGUAAUAGCGAGAACUAGCGAGAAGCAAACGUGUACUCUGCCAUUGCUUCUUGCACAAGGAUUGUUGUCCUGGUCAAGUGAAGCUCCAUUUUGCCCGGAAAAUACAGACCUUACGGAUGACUGACUGUCUAUGUUUGUACCAGUGCUACUAGACAGUACGGCUUGGUUUCUAAAAAGAGUAACGCUGAUCUUCAACCAAGAUGAACAUAAAAACAAUGAGAAUAGAUGAUACUCCGCAGUACAUGACUGAUUACUCCAUACAUGACUGAUGCAGGAAGAAAAAGACACAUGACAUGAUGCAAGGAAAGAUUGGAUUCGAGAGAGUUUAUUAAGGAAGGAUCCUCCAGACGGCUAGCCUAGUUGGAGCGGGCGGCGUAGCGCUCGACCUUGGGGUCGUUGAGGUUGAUCCCCACCAUGGCCUCGCCGAGCCCAGCGCUGACGUUGGCCAGGAUCUCCGGGUCGCUGUAGUGCGUCACGGCCUCCACAAUGGCGCGAGCACGCCUCGCCGGAUCGCCGCUCUUGAAUAUCCCGGAGCCGACGAAGACGCCAUCGCACCCCAGCUGCAUCAUGAGCGCCGCGUCGGCCGGCGUGGCGACGCCGCCGGCCGCGAACUGCACGACGGGGAGGCGGCCGAGCUGCUUGGUCUGCAUGACGAGGUCGUAGGGCGCGGCGAUGCUCUUGGCGUAGGCGAAGACCUCGUCGUCGUCCAUGCUCCGGAGCGCGCGGACGUCGCCCAUGACGGAGCGGACGUGGCGGACGGCCUCGACGACGUUCCCCGUCCCGGCCUCCCCCUUGGUGCGGACCAUGGCGGCGCCCUCCCGGAUCCGGCGGAGCGCCUCGCCAAGGUCGCGGCAGCCGCACACGAAGGGGACGCGGAAGUUGUGCUUGUUGAUGUGGUGCGCCUCGUCUGCGACGGUGAGCACCUCGCUCUCGUCCACGUAGUCCACGCCCACGGCCUCCAGGAUCUGGGCCUCCACGAAGUGCCCGAUGCGGGCUUUCGCCAUGACCGGGAUGGUGACGGCGCGCUUGAUGUCGCGGAUGAGGGCCGGGUCCGACAUCCGGGCCACGCCGCCCUGCGCGCGGAUGUCGGCGGGGACGCGCUCCAGGGCCAUCACGGCGCACGCCCCGGCCUCCUCCGCCAGCCGCGCCUGCUCCGCGGUCACCACGUCCAUGAUCACGCCGCCGCGGAGCAUCUGGGCCAGGCCCACCUUGACGGAGAAGGUGGCGGCGGAGGCGGGCUUGGAGGACGGCUCCACCACCACCUUGUUGUUGUUGCCGUACAGGGUCACCACGCCGUCGGAAGCCAUUGACUCGAUUUGAUUGAGCUCCGAUCCGCCGCCGCAAUUCCUUCCUUGCUGCUGUGUGGUAUGUAUUGGGGGAUUUGGGGUUUGAGGGUUCGGUCUGUGGGUGGAUGAGGGAGCUACCUAGACUUACUAGAAGGAUGUGGAUGCUUCGAUUCUGUCUCAACAGAAGAGGAAGGGAACGGAGUGGAGAAAGUGACAACUUGCAAUUGGGCUAAACGCGAUUGUAACGGGCCCCUUCCUUCCGGCCCAACAAUCUGUUUCCAUUUCCGUUGACAUCUCAACAAUUUCUCAAAAAAAAAAAGUUAACACCUCAACAGAACCAAGUACUCCCAGGCACGCAACGGAGUAUGUAUGCAUGCACAGAACGUAUCAAGAAAAAUGUCAUGAUUCAAACAUUCAGCUCAAUUCAACUCAACAGAUUUAUUAUUGAUUUAGGACGGCAAGUCGAUGGAAGGCGAAAUUCUUAUAAUGUUCUCCCAGGCAUCCAUCACAUGAAUUUCAGACCACCAGCACACAAUAUCAACAUCAUUCAUACAGAAGAGAGAGGUAAUGCUGAUCUUGCUCUUCAUUUCAGUCCCAUUGUAUUUUCCUGUGGAAGGUCCACUGGGACGGGUUGAUGGUGGACUGGCCGCUGGAGGCGACAAGGUCGUAGGGAGAGUCCUCGUCAAACUCGGUCGGCAUCGCCUUCCAGUGCAGGCCCCACUCUGCAGCAUCAUCCUUGAGAACCCUCAGGAUCUCUUCCACCACUAGGUUGCUCCCCUCUUCCGACAAAUGCAGCCCAUCCCUGCAAAAUUUACACAUUCUGUCAAUCAACUCCUUUAAUUUCUUCUCACCCUAGCAGCAUAACUUGUAACGAAACACAAGCCAGAAGGGAGCUACAAGAAGAUGAAUGGACUUCCAAACAAACAAAAGAACUCACGUAAAGCACGCCGUGGCCCAGUCAUCCCGUUUCUGAAUGGCGUUCCAGAGAUCGACGCACUUGAGGUCCAUCUCCUUGCACACAGAUAUGCAUGCUUCGGAGUAGAGACGGCAGGUUUCGUUGGUCCGCACGAUCUCGCUCAGCGCUGUGCUUGUCGAUUUCCGGAGUGUCUCCUCAUUGAGCGGUGGGCAGCUCAGGAAGAUCACGCGGGUCUUGUCCGAGAGGCUCUUGAGGUGCUCCGCUAUCUUUUUCAUGUUGUUUAUGUACUCCUCAAGUGGCACAUGAGGUCCAAGCCCAGAAGGGUGUGCAGCAAUUGAAUCAUUGCCACCAAAGUAAACUAUUACCAAGCUAGGUUGCACUGCUGAAUCCUAUUUAAUUAACAGAGAGUUAAAUUGCAUCCAAAUCAACAAUUUAAACAGGAAAAGGAGAGUCUACUAGCUAAGUUAAAACACAGAGUCAUAAUGUUAGCUUGUUGCAUCAAUGACACUGCCUUUUCAUCUACAAAAUCCGGUAUAUAUUAGCUAGCUGGUCUAAGGAAAGAAUAAAUGGGAUAACCUUGGGGAAAACUUUGUCAAUGACUUGAAGUGCCCGCCUUGAGUUCCAGCCAAUAUACCCUCUCAGAACAAUAUCAGCCUGAAUGAGUUUUAAGAUAAGACACACACGCAUUAGUCAAGUUAGACAAUAUUUUUGUUAGUACCGGUUCAUGGCCAUGUCCAAAAGAUGGCCUAUGGCUAUAUAUUCUUCCUCCUGAUCUCUUUUCAAAGUGUAACAUCAUAGUCAGGUUAGUUUUCCUCCUUGUUCCAUUUUUGUCUUCAUUUUUUUUUCUUGUGUUUCACUGAAUAUAUUUUCUCUCUCAAACACACUAGUGGCGUGUCAUUUUCAUUAAGAUUUAAGAAGAAGGCGCGAGAAGUGCAAAGUACAAAAGGCAACCGAAAACAGGAAAAUGAAAGCUAGGAAAGCCAGAAAAAAGCUAAAAGAAAACUGCACAAAACAGGAGCUAUACAGCGGCCAAAGGCCAAGCACACAACUGGGAGAUCAGUCCAGGGGGCGCGCAUGGAGCACGUUUCCCUGAAUGUAAAUGUGUUGAAUCGACACACUGGACACUAUCAAUACACUCUCUGUUGAAGAUAACCCAAAUUAUUCUGUAAGAUGAUCUGUCUUCAGUUUUGUAGAACUGCCGCAUUUUUUGUGCCAUUUUCAUAUAUAUUCUAAAUGUUCUGACUAUCAAGGCUGACAUACAGUUUAGGCUACAUAACCUUAUACUUGAUAUUCCGCUGCUGUGUGUUUUUCAAAUCUAUCAUAACCUUAUAAGUAUUAAACUCAAAUCCAUGUAAGUGUGCUGUAUAAUGUGUGCAAAAAAAAGUGUGUUCUAUAAAAAGGAACCACGGAAAUAUUCUCCCACAAAGAACACAGAAAGCAUAGUAAGGCAGCAGAUUGCGGACGCCAUACCCAGGCAUCAAGGAGGGAAUCAAGUGGUAAAACAAUAUCUAUAUUACUUGUAUUAUCUUGUUCGUUCGUUACUUGUGAAGAAGUAGGUGCAUUUUUUUUUGCGGGUAAAAAAGAGGUAGGUGCAUUGUGUCUGAGUGAAGCAUGGAGUUGUGGGAACAUAGUAAAUACGAGGGUGUUGCUGUUUUGAGGAGGAGAUGCAUGCAACAGGUGAACAAAAGGCACCUGACUCCAAUUAUAUGUCAGUGACAGCAUACAAUUGCAUAGUUUUUUCCAGUGAAUUGAACAACCUAUAGUCAACACGAUGACUGAGAAAUUGAGGGCCUUCUCGGACGACGGAAAUUGAACAUCAUAGAAAUAUGAUAAAAAUGAGAAGCUGUUUGUUGCAUCACAAGAAAAACUCAAGAACAUUUGUUGGUGAUCAGGUGCAUGUCACGGUUGUUACUUGUAAAGGUCUGAGUGUCUGACCGUAUCUUUUGAAAUUGGGGCGCAAAAUUUCUUAAAUUAAUUAAAAAAGAGAAAUGCUAGCAUUAAUCAAUAGAAAGAAACUAUCAGCACCACUUUCUUUUCUGAGGAAAUGCAAAAGCUUUGUGGCUGAGUGCAAGGUUUGGUGGACUCAAAUGAUAACGAUAGAUUAUUUUGAUAACAUAAAGUUGAGACAUACACAGCUUUUUCAGGUGGUCCCACUCCCAGGUAAUAAUGGUGUAUACCAAAUUGCCAUAAAGGCCUCCCAUACAUGAGCAGCCAAAUGAAUAGAGGGAUCUGGCCACGCUGAUUGCGUGGGUCACUCCGCUAGUUUUUGCAACAAUACGAUGAAUCCAAAGAGACGUUCGUUGGCAGAGUUACAAAGGCAGAGUUGGAGUGCUUAAUCAAUUCGUAAAAAAGAAUAUCAUCAUAGUCCGUAUUAAAAACAGAGAAGCACGGAAGAGAUCGAGUUGAAUAUGCAUUCGUAGAGGGAGAUCAUCCUCAAUUUCCUUAAAAAGAGUGGUGUGAUUUGGAAUCAGAUCGACAGAAAGGAAGCAGGGGGAGGAGAGAAUUAAGGGGUGGUUACCUUGCGGGCGUAGAUGUCGGCGAGAGUGGCGCCCCAUCCGCCGUUGCUGAAGCUGUACUGCACGAUGGAGGAGCCGAAGAGGACGAACACCGGCCGGCCUGCUGCACGGCCAAUCAUCGCCGCCCGCUCUAGAUUGCUAGCUGCUCGCCGACCGCGCCCCGACCUUGCUGAUUUGAUCUGACCUAAGCUGGCUAGCGACGCUGGGAGACAAAGGUUGAGUUGAGAGCAGCUGGCGGCGGGCCUUUGGCUUUGCCCGGCUGAGAGACAAAAGUGUUUGUUUGGUGAUAUCACAAGUAGAUUGGACGGAGGCCAUGCACUUGUGGUUCCUUUCUUCCUGGUACGAUUCUAAUAUAGCUAACCUAGCUGCUGGUACAGUGGGGAGAGAUUAAAAGGAGCAGCAAGCAACAUUGUGCUGAGAAUUCUAGGUGGAUUGUUAUUGCACUUUUUUUUCUAAAAAAAGGAGGGUGCACCACCUCUGGUCUUCGGCCUCUGCCUCGAUUAACGUCGAUAUCCAUUUUUCUCUUAUUUUUUUUAAGGAUAGAAUAACGUCCGUUAAAUCCUGAAAUAAUACAGGAAAAUGUGACACCCAUAUGUCAAGUUUAGGAUUUGGAUUUGAAUGGACUGAGUUCCACCAUAAAGAACCAAGCCAUUUUCUCUUAUUUUUUAAACCAAAGGUGUGCAUUAUUCGCUCAUUAAUCCAAUGAAGACUAAUAUUACCACUGCAGUAGUAUCACCGAUCAAUCACGCCCUGCCACUGUCGUACCAUUUCCAUCAGUUUUUGCAACUAGAAAAGAAAGAAAGAAGCAAAUAAUUGCAAGCACCUACGUGAUGGAGUACGUACUGUACAGUACACCAUUCAAUUGGUGGUCUCCAGGCUCCAACCACCUCCCUCUGCUGGCGCGGCCUACGUUAUUAUGUCAGCUCUCAGGAGCUCAUCACUUCUUCUUCGUCGCCAUUCAAUUCCCAAAACAUACCAGCAGUUGCAAGAUCAUUUACUUACUUGCCGGCAUCCUCCCUGACCUGUGACCUCCCACCAUACUCUCCUCCUCACUCGCUCACCAUUAAUCAUAAAAUCAUUCAUUGCCUAUCACAGAGAUGCAUCUGCAUCUAUAUGUAGGCACUGCAACUUUAAUUGUUUUGCUUCUUUCCUGCGCCCAGCCCACUGUUGGUUGCUUCUCAUCGCUCGAAGUGGUCACCCAUCUUUACUUUGGCUAUUUUUAACACGAAGACGAAGUAAUGUAUUAAAUUUUUUGUUGAUUAAGUUGCACCAUGGAGGAACAGGCAUUUCGUGAUUUAACGUCGAUUUAGGCCAAUCAAAUAAGCACAAUGGAUUCCGGCUGAUCCAUAAAAAGUGUCGCUCAUUAUGUACUAAGUGGACGACAUUUUUUUAUAAAUCGAGUAUAGCAAAUCAGAUGAAUAAGAAUACAAUAGCAUCAUGGCGGAUCCACCUUGUAGUCACGGGGGAUAAUGCCCCCAUUCAAUUAUGUUAUAUCAUUGUAAAUUUUAGAUUCCCACCAUUGAUACCCACUCUAAUUUAAAUUAUAGCCGCUUAAGAAUGUUAAAAGUGACCCCUCUUAAUUGUUCCCCUGGCGAUUAUCAUUCUCAGUCAAGAAAGUAAAAUGCUAGAUUUUGUGAUUUUAAAAGAGUGAAAUACACCAGAGUGAAUGCACAAUUUAGUCCAUGAACUCAAAAAAUCCUAAACUGAUAUUAGUGUAACACUUGGGUGCAAAAAUAGUUUGAUGUGGUUAAUUCCAGCAACGUCGGCUUAAGCCAGGAUCAUGGGUUGUUGUUGGGGUUUCUCGGAAGAGUUUUUGCAAAUAAUUAACAGCAACUUGUGGAUGAUUAUUUUAUUGUUUUGUUAAUUUAACAGUAUCCUGCAAAGGGUUAUGUUAACACCCCCCCCCCCCCCGCCAGAAACCCCACUAGUAACCCGCAGUCUUGGUUUGAGCUGACGUGGCUGCCACCGCCGCCGAAAUUAAUCCCGCUGAACCGUUUUUGGACCUAAGUGUUACACUAGUAUCAGUUUAGGGCUUUAUGCUUGCGUUUUCUGAGUUCAUGGAUUAAAAUGUGCAUUCGCUCCGAGUUUAUAGACUAGGGGUGUAUUUCACUCAUUUUAAAAUACUGCUUCCUCCGAUCCAAAUUAUUUGUUGCAACAGUUUUCGAAAUGAACGAAUGUACACAUUGAAAACGCAAAAUUGAGAUAAUCAAUUUGGAUAGGAGGAAUAUUAUUAUGCACUAGUUAAGUGCCCGUGCGUUGCAAUGGAAUGAAAAAUAAAAUGUACAAAGAAUAUAUAUCAAAAUGGCAUUUUUUCAACAAACUUCAACAAUGUAUAACCAUGUCAUGACAAGCAUCAGCCUCUUCCUAUUGCUUUCCCCUCUCGAUGACCAUCAAAUGUAAACUGUAGUGUAACAAUCAAAUUUAUUAAGCUAACACAGCACUUCAAUGGAGUUGCUUGUCUUAGCACCAAAUAUUGGUCGGUCAAAACUUAAAGCUGCUACCUAUGUCAGAUCUUCGGUAGCACAAAUACUAAGAAACAGCAUAGAAAGAGCUUGAGAAAAUAUCACAAAACCACAACCGUUGUGUCCUUCUUAUCACUUAACCACAACUUCAGGAUAUUUUAUCCAAAAACCACAACCGCAUGACUUAAUUGCCUCCGGCCUCUCUUAACAGCAAAACUGACAAGCCUGACCCACGUGUAAGUGUCUGAUGGUCAUGUUGUUCGAUGCCGGUCCGCUGGUCCAUGACAGGGUUGAAGCACUUGUUCACUCCAGCACGCCCAUCGCCACCGCCAUGGCCGUCGUCGCCUUCUCCUGCGCCUGGAAGGUCUUGAGCGUCUCUCGCUCCCACGCCUCCUGCACGCACCGCAGCAGCGGCUUGCCUGACAUGAGAACGAGCUUCUCCGAUGGCGUCGGCGGCUGGUGCUGAGGCUUUGAGGAGCCGCAUGCAAGGGAGGAGAAGGACAGGAGCGACAUGGUGGUUUUGCAGCAGUUGCAGUGGACGCUAGACUCGGUGAAGAGGUCGGAGGCAAUUAGGCCACACAUAAAAUUCCCAGAAGUUGUGUUUAAGUGAUAAGAAGGAUGCAACGGUUGUGGUUUUGCGAUAUUUUCUCAAAGAGCUUGAUGGCCAUAGAACAGCCAAGGUACAUGAUUGGAGGUAAAAACAUCCAAAAAUGAAUGAUCAAAAUAAGUGUUUGUUAGCGCUAUAACAAUCUAGAUUUUACAUGAAGAGCGCCUUGCUUUUACAUUUCUAAUGUCCUAUCAAACGAACAAAGUUCAAGCAUUAAAAGAAAACUAAAAUGGCUGGUUCAGUAAAAAUAAUAUCAACACAUAAUGAAACAAUUCUAACAGUUUCCUGAUGAUAUAUCCAAAACAUCAGUAAUUGAUUUAUGUUUAGGUGGACCUCAAGAGCUUGACAACCUACUGAUAAAAUAUGGUUGAGCCAACAUCAAACAUACAGUCUCCCUCCUAAUUGGAGCAAGUAUCUUCACUGGACAAUUUAGAAAAAAGUCUCCCACCGCGACCUUAGUAGCAUCUGCUUACAUAAUCCACACAAAUUGAAUAAGGAUAAUACUGAUCGAAGUUGAGAUGGGUACAUGCAAAUGAAGAGAUGAUGACAAAGAGGCAACGACGACCUGUUGGAAAUAUGCCCUAGAGGAAAUAAUAAAUUUGUUAUUAUCAUAUUUCAUUGUUCUUGAUAAAUGUUUAUUGCCCAUGCUAUAAUUGUAUUGAUUGGAAACUCAAAUACAUGUGUGGAUAAAUAAACAAAUACCAUGUCCCUAAUACGCCUCUACUAGAUUAGCUCGUUGAUUAAAGAUGGUUAAGAUUUCCUAACCAUAGACAUGUGUUGUCAUUUAAUAACGAGAUCAUAUCAUUAGGAGAAUGAUGUGAUGGACAGACCUAAACCUAAACAUAGCUUUUGAUCGUGUCACUUAAGUUUAAGUUGCUUAUGUUUUAUUAUGUCAAGUAUUAUUUCUUUAGACCAUGAGAUCAUGCCACUCCCUAGUACCGGAAGAAUACUUUGUGGGCAUCAACCGUCAUCUCGUAACUGGGUGAUCAUAAAGGUGUUUUUCAGGUAUCCCAGAAGGUGCUUGUUGGGUUGUAUGGAUCAAGACUGGGAUUUGUCACUCCUUGUGACGGAGAGAUAUCUCUGGGCCCUCUCGGUAAUAUAACAUCCUAAUGAGCUUGCAAGCAUGCGACUAAUGUGUUUAGUUGCGGGGGUAUUAUAUUACGGAACGAGUAAAGAGAACUUGCCGGUAACGAGAUUAAACUAGGUAUGGCAAUACCGACGAUCAAAUCUCGGGCAAGUAAUAUAUCGCGAGACAAAGAGAAUUGGAUACUGGAUUAAUUGAAUCCUCGACAUAGUGGUUCAACCGAUGAGAUCUUCGUGGAAUAUGUGGGAACUAUUAUGGACAUCCAGGUCCCGCUAUUGGUUAUUGAUAUUUGAUCAUGUCCACAUGUUCUCGAACCCGUAGGGUCACACACUUAACGUUUCAUGUUGCUUGGGUUAGAUGAGAUAAAUGAUGAUGAUAUCGAAUUAUGAUUCGGAGUCUUGGAUGGGAUCCUAGACGCAACGAGGAGCUCCGGAAUGUUCCGGAGAUAAAGAUUUAUAUAUGGAAAGUUGUUUUCAGGGUUCUGGAAAGUUUGGAAUAUUUCCCGGUUUUGACCGGGAAGCUUCUAGAAGGUUCCGGAGGGAUCCGGAGGGUUCCACCUUGAGGCCCACCUAUCCCUGGGCUAAAUGGGCCUGUGAGGGAGCACCCUGGCCUUAAUGGGCCGAGGGGCUAGCCCACAGGGCCCAUGCGGCCAGGAGGAGAGUCCUGGCCGCGGGAGAGUCCUGGCCGCAUGAGAGUCCUGGCCGGCCACGCCUCCUCUACCCCUAUAUAAAUAGAAGGGGGGGCAAGGGAGAGAGACACCCCAACCUUUCAGUUGGAUCUCUCUCCCCUGAGCCCUCCUCUCCUCCUCUUCUCACGCGCACGGCGUAGCCCUGCCCGUGAGAAUAUUCACCAUAGUCACCACGCCGUCGUGCUGCCGGGAUCUCGUCUACCUCUCCCUCUCGCUUGCUGGAUCGAGGAAGGAGGAGACAACGUGAAGCUGAACGUGUGGAUACCAAGGAGGUGCUGUCUGUUCGGCACUGAGAUUGAUCUCAUUGAAAGUUCCACUACACCAACAACGAUCUCGUGAUCGUAACGCUUAGCGGUCUACGAGGGUAUGGUGUUCAUGAUCCCUCUCGUUACAUACAUCUAGUAUAUAUAUUCUUGGGUUUUCUUCCGCACUUCUCGUAGGAAAUUUUUUUGUUUCCUAUGCAACGAACCUAACACGACCAUGGUAAUGCGGAUAAGGAAGAUCGAAUAAUCAGAAUAGAGCCUGACCUAAACUAACCAUAUCGCUCAAUAAAUAUUUAGGCAUCAAUUGGAAAAUCUUGAAUUUCACCUGCUCAAAAGCAUGACGAUGACGGCUUCACGACACCUUAACUGUUUCAAAUUAAACUGCCAUGGUGGCCCUGCGGCAGGAGUUAGUUACGUUGUUUCCUUUCAUAGCAUAGGAUCCCCACCGUGUUUGUUAGGCAGGGGAUCGAUCUUCCUUUAUUUCCGUUGAGCAUGAGCGCACAAACGAUUGUGUGAGCCGUGCAUGUAGGAUCCAUCGCUCGCAUGAUUUGCCGUGGGAUGGCGCGGCCAGUCCGGAUUGUGGGUUCGAUCUGUGUGAUGAAUAAAAGGAGAACAGAAACAGAAAAGCAGCUAAGUCGUUCGCUGCGCAAAAACCUCCCAGAGUCCAGUGUGUUUCUUCCUCUUGUGACUAGCCGGAGCUGUCAAUUGGUAUCAGAGCCACCGUAGGCCCUGAUGUUGCAUGCCCAAGUUCAUGCCGAAGACAAGCGGUGCUGCCGACGGCUACAAGACCAUCUAAGAAAUCAAAGUGGUAAAAUAUGUUCAGUUAUGCAGCUCUGUACAAAAAGAAUUUGCCUUUUAGAACCAUAAGGAUCUCUCUGAAGUUUGAAACCUGAAAGUGUCAUUUGCUGAUCAAUCUACAAUCAAAUGCCUAUGUUAGAAUUGUGGGAGACUCAGUCUAAGUAUUAAUUAGAAGGCCAUGCUUGGGAUGGGAAGUAUUGCAACAUUAGGUGUAAAACUUUGAGCUUGAAGCUUAGAUAUAAAAGAACAAAGACAUGGAAUAAUUUUGGUCGCUGAGACAUAUGCAACCUCAAAACAAUUGAAACAAAAGGUGUGAUAAACUAUAGUAAUUAAUUUUAUCAUUUUGCAGAUGUUUCUAGAGAACCUCCACUCUGUAAAUAGUUUUAUCAUUCACGUAAGAUUACCUUUGUAUAAGAAUGCCCAUCAUCCUUUACAAAAUCAAUCUUCACUCAUGGAAAAAUUAAUAUCUUGUAUCCACAAUAAGGAUAUACCUCUAGCUUUUCCCAAGGUAAACUACUCCACGAGGGAAGGUUGGAGGCGGACAGUUGAGGGUGCGGAGGCUCAACGUCCCUGCAGACGGGGAUCAAGAGGUCCGGGUGUGGAUCCUCUCAAGGAGCAGGUUGAGGUACAUCGAAACCUUUUUGAAGCACUAUGAUGGUACAUCGAAAGUUUUAUUUAGCGUUACUCUCCAACAAUGUUAUAUCUCAGGCCCACAAGUAGUUUUUUGCAUUCUAGGCCAAGAAUUAAUGGAGGAUACCUGAAGAUUUUUCUUUCCACAAUGUGAUAUAACUGGUGCAUAGAUCCUCCUUGGCUCUUCCAAAAAUAUCAUCUUCAGGUAUGUAUGCCUCCUUCAAAUAUCAUGUUAUUUACAUACUUGCAUCAGACCAAGACCGAGGACAACACUCAAUGCGAAAACAAAAAUUUGCUAAGCUAAGAAAAUACCUUGCUUCAUGGAAAAGCCUACAGGAGCCAAGUCAAAAUUGUCAGUUUGCAAAGCCUGGAACCAGAGUGGUGCAGUCAGUUGCAAAAAUCACAUGGCUUAACCCAAACUAACCUGCAAAUUUGAUUCUCUGUAGCAUUGCAAACUUUCUGCAUGUAAUUCAUCAGCAGCAGAUGGCAUAGAUACUGAAAGCGCAACGACUGCAGCUCCAUCUUCUCCUCUGCAUAUGCAGACGCGGAGGCCUAAACUUGUCGGCUUUCCUUGCAAACGACUACUCCCAUUCAGUAACCAAGUGCUUGGUAUUGUACUGUAGCUCAUCAACAAUUGUCGGUCGUUCAUGGUGAUUUCUUUUCACUCCACCAGCACCAUAGAAGGCAAACAACCAGCAGCAUCAGAUAAGUAUUCAGAUUGAAUACAUUCAUAUAGAACUUCCUUUGCACUUCGGCAUGUAAUUAGCUUGGAUCUGAUUGUGCAAAUCAAAUAUCUUUGAUAACAAAUACUCUCUCCGUCCCAUGUUAAGUGACUUUCUAUUACAUGUAUCUAGACGCUUUUUAGGCAUAGAUACAUCUAUAUUUUGGCAAACUUGAGUCACUUAAUAUGGGACAGAGAGAGUAAGAAUGAAGACAACAUAGUAGUUGCUAGCUACAAACUAACAAACGAAAAAGUAUUUGUUCGAGCAACACAACAGAUAAGAAUGUCUUUAUUUAGUUAUUACGUAUAUGUCACAAAGGGUACAACAGAAGCAAGCAUCUUCAAAUUCACCUCGGUGGUCUUGAGGAACACGCCGGUCACCAUCUGGGUCAGCCGUAGCCUUGCAAAAUCUUCUUGAUGUGCGGGUGCAAUUCUUCAGUGCUGCAAUCACAAAAAAUUUAACAAAUCAAUCAAUGUUAAUCCAUCACCAAGAGCCAAAGAAUAACAAAAGUAUCUGAAAAGCUUUCAAUUAUCUACCGACCCGGAGCUGCAGAUGGCGAAGAGGAGCUGGGCAUCGUCGUGGCUCUCAGCGGGACUGAACCUGGAGGCCUUGAGGCGGGUGUGCAUCCGCAGGAAGUCGAGCUCCUUGUCGCGGAACUUCCUGAUGAACUCCUCGGGCCACUCCUUGUUUAUAGAGUGUUCAAAAGUACAAUGGUUAAAAGCUUAUAAAUAUUCAGUGUUGUUGACUUCAGAAAAAUUCACGCUUAUCUUCCACUGAAUACCGAACAUGUUGUUCUAAACUUUCAACUUCAGUUUGCUGGUCCUGAAUGAAUAAAAGUAUUCGUAUGGGAAACUACCCAAUUUAUUUACCAAAAUAACCCAAUAAAGAACCCUAACCCUUCACUGCUAUAGCAUGAGAAUAUGACCAAGAAAGCAAGGAAUCGGUGGAGGGUUCAGACCUGAACAAUCUUGUGGCCCUUCCUCCUCCGCCCCGCUGGCUCCUCAGUUCCCUCAUUGUCGGGGGAGGUGGGGUCGUGCACAGGCUAGGCGGCCAGCGGGAGCAUCUGGGGCGGGCGAAUCUCGCAGACCGCUCCAUGUGUGUGGAAGCCUGCUGCCAGAUCCCAUCGAGGGGGUCCUUGAGGGAGUCCUUUCUUGAGAUGGGAGGUUGGCGACGCAAGCCCACUCUGCCUGCGCUGGAUUUGGAAGGGGCGACGGCGUCAUCCGGCGGGACCACAUCAGAUCUUGGCGGCGGAGGAGGGGAUGGCGGAGGCGCGCCGCAAGUGGAUGGGAGGCGGCGAUUUCGUUGGGGGUGGUGGUGAGGGGAGCGAGCGAUCAAUCGUGCAGGUGAGUAUGCAAUCCUUUCGGGUUCCGCAAAUUGCGCGUGCGUUGGCAAUCGGUGUAAUUUCAAUGAAAUUGACGAACAGACCAAACGUAUGUACCAAACUGUAAAUUAAGUAGUAAUAAAGAUACCAAAAUUAACACCCAUGGAUUUUUUUUAUUGGCCAAUUUGGAUAGGAGUAUGGUCUUGGACAACGCACCAAGGACGUGGUUGUGCAGUGGGCUUCGUCUCGUCGAGGACCGCCGCAACCGCGUCGCCGUCUCCGUCCUCUCCUCUCCCCGCCUACUCUUGCUACGCCUCCUGCCGCCCAAGCUCAAGACCCCUUGAUCUCCGCGCCGCAAUGUUCAAUCUACUAGCCGACGAUUGGCUCCUCGCCUCGCGCGCCCACCUCGACGACGCCGCCGCCCUCGGCUCCUUCCUCCUUCCUCGAGUGCUCCUGUUUGGUUUCUCCAGACUCCACCCACUCGCUCCAUCUCCUCGCGCACUACCUGCAGGUCUGUUUUUUCUUUUCUUUUCUUUUUCAGUUACAUUCUUCCUAGGGCAGAGAUUCAUCCCUAACUACUACUCCUACUCAUUAAAUAAAUUGGUCCCUGCUAAGUGCUAACUAGCAGCUCGUCUUAGAAUACAUUGAUCUGAGCAGGAAAGAUUCUCCUUCCUUCGGACAAAUCCUUGAUUUGUAAGCAUGUGCCAGCGUGAUUUUGCUUAGGCGGUUUAGCCACCGUUCCUGGGAUACUGACAGAAGUCCUGAACUCCUCAGUUCUUGGACACAGCGCAUACAUCAGGUGGCAGAUGCUGGACCAAUGCCAGGUAAAUUCCUGCUAAAAGUUUAUUUUGAACAAGAACAUUAAGAGGGGAGGAGACAGUGCAUACAUAUGUUUUUUUUGGGUCAAAUUAUGGCAGCAUCUUUUGGCGUACUACUUUCAUGGCACCAAUUCAUGCAAAGAUUACUUUCAUGUUACAGCCUGUAUGACUUCUGUUUAUCUUAUCUUAGAGAUAAUAUUAUAGACUAGCAGCCAAAUGGUCGCAAUCACAUACUCCCUCCGUGGCUCCGUCUCAUGUUAAGUGACUCAAAUUUGUCUAAAAAUGGACGUAUCUAUAUACUAAAAUACAUCUAGAUACAUGUAAUAUUUCGGCACUUAAUAUGGGAUGGAGGGAGUAUUUUUUGAGGUAUUCUCUUGCUUAACAGAAGUUAGGAAUGUUUCUUAAUGUCAAAAUUGUUUAAGAUCAGUUAUAGAUUUCUUAUAGACACCAAUGCUUUCCUUUCUAGGGAUCGGAAAUAAGGGGAUACUGAGCUUUCUAUAAUUCUCAAAUUCUUGAUCAUGUGACAUGACAACAUAUACAAUUCCAGUUAUCCUAAAAAAGGGAUAGUUAAUUGGACAGCAAAGCUAAUUGCAACCUGAGUGUCUUUUAUACAUUAUCUUGGCAAUCAAAUCAAGAGAAAAUCAAAAGGAGCAAGAAAAAUAUGUGGUACAAGGAGCCAUGCAAAACACACUGGGUAAAUCAACACCGUUUCAAGUCCCAGCAUCUGUUUUCCACAAUUAGACAAAAGCCAAUUACUGUUCUUGUAAUCAGCACUGGAGAAGAUCUUUGGGUGGUGGAAUUAGAGUCUCACUAGGUCUUUUCCCAUUCUCCACCACAAAGACCAUCUUGAGUCCCCAUGACGUGUGGACCUCGAAAUGGCAAUGCAUAAACCAAACACCUGGAACAUAACAAAUCAAGCAACUCGUGUUAGGAAACGGAAGGGUAUUUUUAACUUAAAAAUGUAGGAUUGAAAUCUGUACCUGGGUUGUCUGCCCUAAAUCUGAUUGCUGUCCAUCCGCCGGUAGGAACUCCAAUGGUGUUUCUCUCAAUGGGGUCAAUGAGGUUAAAUGUGGAAGGGGAAGUCUUGGGGCUGUAAUUCCCAAUACCUCUCCCAACCACAAAAAAGUUAAAACCAUGCAGAUGGAUUGGGUGGCUUUCCGUUGAUAUGAUCCCCGUAUCCUGGAGUAUGACCUGCACUGAAGCAUUGUAUGGAAGCCUAUAAACCCUGGUUCCAUUCAUAGUUCGAAGGUUUUUGGGGCCGCUUCCUGUGUAGUUGAACUUGUGUGGUGGUGUCGCUGGGAAAUCUUCUGUGAACACCCCUGGGAUGUUGUAAUAAUAUGCUUGGAGAAUUGGGGUGGAUGGCAUAACAAAUGUCAAAUUAUUGAUUGUGCCCACCACCCUUGUCCCAUUAAUGCAGUUCGGGCACGGGUUGACACCCACACCAAUGGUAAAGAAAAGCGAGUGGUCUACUGUCCGUGGUACAUUGGCUGGGUACUCCUUGGAGUUGAGGCUUCGCAGAGAAUCAGCGAACUUCGACGCGAUAAGGGUGGCAUUUUGUGGUGGUGGUUUGAAGAGAGUUAGGCGUGCUGCGGCGGAGACUGUGUUGGUGUAGUGCAAGAUAGCGGUGCCUGUUGUGUUGUCAACCUGUACAGGAGCAUCCAUGAAGGGAGAGAUUGAGAGAAGGUACCGCCCAGCACUUUGGUCAGCAGCGAGGAGGACGUUAGUGGUCUGGCCUGGAGUGAUGAGCAGGAUAUCGGUUUUAUAUGGCUUGGUAUAGACUGCAUCAACCUCAACCACUGUUAGUUUGUGCCCGGCAAUCUUGAAGAAUAGGUCAUCAUUCAGCGCAGCGUUGAUGAUCCGGAGCAUGUAUGUCUUGCCACUUUCAACAUUGAGCUUGAACCCAUCUGCCCAGAACAUACAUCAGGAAAGCUUUUUUGACUCUAUAGUAGAAAUAAAGCAUAGUGCAGUACUCUGCAAUAACAAUGCGUAGUAGCACCUUCGCCCAUAUACCUUGUGAGGAAGCACAAUCAGACAUUGGACCAGGGUGGCCAUUGAUAGUGUGCGAAUCGGAAAUAUUGGGUCCGACACCUAGUUGCAUCGCCCGGUUGAUUAUGGUUUCUAUGUCUGCUUUCCACCAUUCCCCUUCAGAAAUCAUCAAGUAGUAAGUGCUAAAUUGCUUAUUUUCAUUAACAAAAAAUUUAAGGAACAAUUAUACCUAUAUUACUAUACGUACCUAGGACAACGACUGCUUCCUUGUGAGGAGCAGGGAAGGGAUAGGGCACACCAAGCUUUGGGAGGAUGACAAUAGCACCAUGUACGGUAGCCCUUAGCCAGUUGAUAUGGGCAUGCCAGAGGAGUGUACCACGUUGGCCGGUAAUGGUGAAGUUAUACAGAAAGCUACUGCCUGGCUGGAUAGGGCACUGGGUAAUGUAGGCUGGUCCAUCGUACCACCCUGUUCGGAUCUGCCUUACCCCAUGCCUGAUUAUGACUUAGUUAGCAAGUUGUAUACACAUAUAUGUUGCAUACAUAUGAACUAUGACUAUUUUGUUUCUGUUUGCCUAUCAAAGGAAAGGAUGUGCCUUGUUCAAAAAAGGAAAAUAUGUGUGAUUCUUUAGAUAUAAUGUAUGUGUAAAAUUAUGUAGUUUUAACAUUAACUGAUGCAACUAUUUUCCUUCUUUUGGUUGCUUGCAGCAAACAGAGUAUGCAAAAAACUCUCGUAUGUGUUGAGGUUGUCUUUUAUAUGUGCAAGUGUGUGCACUUGCCACUUUGAGGCGGUGGUUUUCUGCUAUAUAUCGAGGUUGAAGCAUGGAAUGGUACUGGACUACUACUUACCAGUGGAUGGUAACGUUGUGAGGUACAUGAUUGACAACCUUGACAAGAACAUUAUCACCUUCUCUUGCAUAGAGGGUCGGCCCCGGGAACUUGCCGUUGACAGUGAGGAUAGUCUUGGUUGAGCAAAGCCGUGACAUCUUCCUCAUAACCACCUGCACAAGUCAAAUCAAGCUAAAUCAUCAUAGCAGCUUGAGUUCUGUAGCCGCCUAAAGGUGACUGUUUCGUCAUUUUUAUUGCCAUGUCUAAUUGCUGCAAUUUGGGAAGAAUGAAGUGAGCCCUAGCACACUGUGCAUGUUGGUUAUUGUCAUAGUGCAUCAAAAGGAGAAUACCAUGGUGAAGUGGCAACAAAUAAAGCACUGUACACUAAUAUCUGGUCAUAGAAAGAGUGGUGCAAUGGUUAUGUGCUAUACAACCCGUUACAUGCAGAAACUGAGUAAAUGCACAUUGUCAUUAGCUUAAUUAUCAUUCCUCCUGCAUGUUUGUCUUUUUUAUGAAUGCAUAUGUUUGUGUCAAGAUUCUCACAUUGAACUUGUAGUGUCGGGUGAUGGCGUGGACGCUGAGAGCCUGAAGCAGUACACAGUUGACCAUGACGACGAGAAGGAGCUGACUAAGAUGGCGAGGCAUGCUGCUUGACGGAGCUAGCUAGCUGAUCGGAGAUGAGGACGAUGAUGGAUUGAUGGCUUUGAGUGGAGGCAGCAGGCCUUGUUGCAUGGAAUGACAGGGCAACACAUGCUUUUAAUGGCCCAGGGGGGCUUGAUGUUGGGUUUGUAGCUGCCAUGUCGUUUUUAAUUUUAGGUGAGGAAUCCUUGCUUAACAAGGCUAGCCAGCUAGCUUUUCUAGAAAAUAUGCAAAUCACAGUUAAUUCUUCUUGUUUUUUACUUACAGAUAUGCAAAGUCCACAAAGGUAUAGCUCCCAGUUGCAUUUAGCUACCUUUGCUUCACACAGAUUAGGUAAUAUCCAUACUAUGUUAAUAUAGAUGUAGCCAUCUGCCUGCCAAUGUAUCUAUCUUUUUGGAUCUGGAGUUUGGUUCCAUGUACCUGUCCUCUGCUCACUAACAAUAGCACUUCUGCUGUUAACUAGCAGGCUAGCUAGUAGGAGUAUCAGUUAAUAAUAUAGCCUCUAUCUUUAAGUAACUUGCAGUUCACUUCCAUGUAUUUACAAGAGAACCCGUACCCACAUUGUGACAUUUGAUGUACUGCCACUGCCAUGCGUGUCUGAAUCUUUUAGCAUAGUAUAGAGAAGGCAAAAUAAACACAGUUAUUUUUGUGCUGAUGAAAAAUUACAUUAGCCGAAUGUGACAACUGACAAGUGAGCUAACUGAAAAGGUAAGUGCCGUGCAGAAUCUUUUAUACUCACGUAUCAGAUCACUAGCUAGAUCUUAUUAGGCUUAAUUGAUGCAUUUGGACUGAUAUACUAGCUAGUUUAAUUAGGCUGGUUGCAACUAUACAAUGUUUGUGCAGAAAAGGAACAAAUUAUGUAAUGGAUUGAUACCUGUAUGACCUGUAUGUGUCUCAGUCUUCAGGUGUACAGGGUGUGAAGGAGGGAGAUUGAGAGAUGGCAACAGCUUUUGGUUAUCUGGAAGUGAUGGAUCAUGGAUAUCUAUCUAGUAAGCGGUGCGUGUGCUUCAGCUUAAGCUUUUUCUUCCUUUUUCUAUUUUGGUUGAGCCUAACUGAACCACGGAUUGCACGUAUAGCAACAUUUUUGUCGAAUGUUUUGUGAUAUCUUUGAUUCAUUCAAAGCCAAGCUAGAGGUCAUGUAGUUCCACAUGACUCUGGCUUGCAUAUCUUAUCCAAGAACGAAUGCAGUAUUGUUUGGCUAGUAUUGCAUGCAGUUAACUGAAAAUGGAGGAUCACUGCACCCUAAUUCUGACCUGACAAUCAAAAAUAUUUGUAGUACUAUUAUUUAGAUCUAUACCACGAUUCUUUCUCGAGCACCGAGGAGAGGAUAUGAUAUACUUUUGAUGUAACCAACACAAAACUAGUUAGUUUCCCUUGCUGUCACUGUUACCCAACAACCUCGAAUAACGAUAGAUCUCCAUCUUCUUCUGUCCCUGUCUGCCUGAGAUUUUGUCAUUUUCUAACUGGUUCCCAAUGAAGCUUAGCUAAGAUACAUGCACGUUAUGAAACCAUGCCUUUAUAUAUUCAUUCAUUUCCAGUACAACCAAUGUCCGUCAGUGACAUGUCUCUUAACUAGUGCAUACUAGUCAUUGUCCAACAUUUUUUAGCUUCGAGCCAAGAGAACAAAAUCAGACACAAAUGAAAUUUACUAAACUUGAUAGACAGUAGCUAGGUUCAAGGGAACUUUCAGAAGGUUCCUGAUAAAACAUUUUUAUUUUGAGGAGUUUGCUAAAUCAAAUAAAUCCAAUGUAAUUGGUGAGUUGUGCUCCAAAGCCAGAAAGGAACGUGGAAUUUGAAUAUCGAUCUGAUUUUUCUUGAAACUGCAAGUGAGUGAGUCAGAGUGCUGCUGGGCCAAACGAAACAAAGAAAAGAAAAGAAAUCCUUGGAGAUGGUGAAAAGCAAAGGUGACGGACAAAGCAAAGGAGCUCCUAGAUUGCACUCGUAGAACGGGCAGAGAUAGACAGAUACUACUCACUAAGCUAUGCUUGUCACUCUGCUGCUGUCUGCUACAAAUAGAAUAGAAGAUACUAGGAGAUAGGAGUAAGAUAUACGACUGUAUAUACGUACACUUUUGUCUUGCUGCCUCCUUGGCUUCCGUUCCUUGCCUUACCUGCAGUAAGUCUUUCUUUUUCUUUCUAGAGAUUCGAUUAGGAUUUACUUUGUUUUUUGUUACUGGUCCCUCACAGUAUAUAUUUGUCUGCUCCAUAAUCUGUGCAUCCCUCACUUUGUCAUCUGUAUACUAAAGUGUUAGGGAGAGGAAAUCACUAUCAGUGCCAAAAUUACCAGAGUUGCAUUUUACUCGUUAGGAAAUUACUGCUCUUAAAUCUGGUAGAUUAAAUUUGGUGAAAGUUGUCUCAAAGGCACAACUUCAUGCUAAAAUUGGGAUUUAUACUUUCUUAACGUUCAAAUGAGGAACCACCAGCUAGUUAGCACCUAAAAUCUUAAUUAACUCCGUGUGCGCGCAUGACCGUUGUAGGAUUAAAGUAAUCAAUCAGAAGCAUAUCCAUCAGAUGCCAUGUGCUAGAUUCUUCUUAAUUAAUGUUUCAUGUAAAAUAAUACUACUAGUAUGGAAUUCCUGGUUUCUAAGACAUGAAUAUACAAACUCUACAAGAUUCAUGUCAUUUGUUAAUAUUCUUGUGCUGUUGCUUUCAGAUGGAAAUUAAUUGAAGACCCCAUCCAGACCAUGCUUUCAGAUGGACUACUAAUUAACAAUGAUGAUGCUGAAUAGCAAGGUCGACAGCAGCAUUAGCUAGCAGAAGCUGGUAGGUAGUACAAUCCAAAGCAAAGCAGGAGGAUCGAUCAUAAGAGAAAGUUUAGCAUGCAUGCAUGGAUGGAAUUAUCAUUCAUGAUGCACUGCCUUCUUGGGAAUAUUAUCAUUAUAUAUCCUGGUCCAUCCAGCUAAUAAUUUGCUAUGCCGAUGGCAUCGAUUUCACCUACCAAUCUAUUUAUUCCAACCUGUGUUUCACCGAUCGAGCUGUGUUUAUCAUUCCAUGACACUGGUCAGUUUUAAUUAGAGACUAAUUAAACUGUUGACAUGCCUUUUUCUUUUGGUACACAAUAAUACUGUGGCUUCAAUUGAGGCAUGUCUGUCUGUGUGUUCCAAAAUGGAUUUAGACAGACAUCUGUGAGUAAUGUGUGAAAUCAAAAUUUGAAUCACUGAAUGGAAACAAAGAAAGAAAUGUAUUUUCCUACAGUAUAGUUCUAGGGCUGUGCAACAUGACUAACAAGAGUCCAAGAUGGGGGAAAGUGUAAAGCAAAAGAGAGAUGGAGAGGGAGACAAGGGCAAGAAAAAGGAAAAGAAAAGGGUAAAGAGGUCACCAUCUCCCUGAUGAGGUCUGUCUCUUUUGCCACUGCUCUGCUCAGCAGAUCAGUCUUCUUCAGCUCAGCUCAGCUCAAAACACAGCACGACACACGCAACACAGCACAACAGGAGCAGAAGUAGGUUCUUCUCAAAAGGGAAUAGAGAUACAACAACGCAAGACAAGAGAGAGUCUUCCAUUCCAUAUUUCCAUCUCAUCUCUCUCCCCCAGAUCACACACGAGUUGAGGACUCUGAAAUUCAGUUCAGUAAAUGGAGCUGCCCUUGAUUGGUAACAAACAGAGUGAGGAAGUGAUUUGAGUGAGUGAGAGGGGAUGGAUCAGCCACCGCCGGUGCCCUCCAUCUGCGGCCUCCACCCGGGCAUCGCCGUCACCGGCUUCUGCUCCGCCUGCCUCCGGGAGCGGCUCGCCGGGCUCCACCCCGCCGACCCGGCGGAGCUCCGCCGCUGCAAGUCCUUCUCCUACGCCCGCUCCGCCGCCGCCUACUUCGAGCCGCAGCGCCGUUCCUGCGACGCCCGCGGCGCUGCCAUCUUCCACCACCAAGAUCUUCCGCCGGGUCAUGGGGAGGACGAGUUAGAAGAUGUUCCGCCGACAUCGACGGUGAGGCCGAUGAAAGAUCACAUCAGCCAAGAUUCCUCCAAGAAGACGACAUUCGGUGGGGGAUUGGGGAAGAAAUGGCAGGAAUGGCGCCGCAAGAGCAAGCUCAAGAAGCAGGGCCCCGCCGCCCCCGCAGUCGCCACCGCCGCAGCCAGCAGGGCCGCCAUUGACGCGCACCGUAGCUUCCGCGACACGCACUCCGAGGUCGCCAUCGGUCGGCGGUCCGUGGAUGUGGACAGCAGCCGCCUCUGGAUGGACGCCGGCCGCAUCUCGGUGGAUGAACCCCCGAGAGCUUCAUGGCAGCGCCUGCCUCCCACGGUGGAGGAUGCGCCCAUCCCACGCUCUGAUGGCCAAAUCCCAGUGGAGGAGGAAGACGAUGAUGCUGAGCCUGGCGGCUGUGCUCAGACGAGGGACUACUACUUGGACUCCUCAAGCUCCAGCAGGAGGCGCCGGAGCGUGGACCGUUCCUCCUUCUCCAGCCGCAAGUCAUUCUCUGAUACCAAUGACCUGCCCAGGGUGAUAGCUGCUGCCAAUGCCAAUGCCCGGGUUUCGCCAGCCAUUGGCGCAGAAUUCUACCAUUACCAUCAUCAUGCUCAGGGUCAGAGUGUUCUUGACCAUAACCAGCACUGGGAGCUGCAUGGACCGAAUUCGUAUUCUCUGCGGGAUGAUGAUAUGUCCGGGAGCUUUAAUUCGGCCGCAUUCCAAGAAGGCGUGCCUGUGCCUUUGCCGGCAAAGAAGUCCAACAAGUGGAUCAAGAACAUAUGGGGUCUCAUACAUAAGAAGAGCAGCACCAAGGAGUCUCAAGCUGCCAGUAUCGCCAACAGGUCAUUCUCUGAGACAUGGCCCGAGCUCCGUGCAAGGGGUUACAAUGGGCAGAUGCUCAGGUGCAACAGCAGCGUCAGCGCCAGAAGUUCUUUCAGUAACAGCGGAGCAGCAGUUGGCGCCGUGAACGGGAGGAGGAGGAGCAAUGCAGAAAUGCAUGUAAAUGGCUUAGGGAGGGCAAGGAAGGAUGAGGUUUUACUUGAGAGGAAUUUCAGUGCAAGGUACUCAACUUGCCCGGUUGAUAAUGGCGUGUUUCUUAAUCCAGUGGGAGGUAGUAGACGACAUCAGAAUGGAAUGUCCGGGAAGGGAAGGCCUGCUCGUUCAUCCAAUUCUUUGCCUCGGAGCGCACUUGGGAUGUACUGAUCUAGAAGUGAUAAAGGCAGGGGUUUAUGUUCUUUUUAAUCACCUUCUUAUGUGCCUUGGCUACAGACAUUGUGCAUAGCUUAUUGUUAGCUUAUAUGGAUGGUAGAAUCAUACUUUUGUUAGGCUCGGAAGAAAGGUCGUAAGCUGAGGGUGACUGCUGGAUUAUACCUUAUUUAGUCUUAUUUCCUUUUGGGCCUGGGGGAGUGGAGUAUAGCGUUUAACUUUACACCCUUUAAUCUUGUACAAGAUAUGCCAUAUCUAUGUUUGCUUUUGUCAUCUGAAUUCUAAGUUAGCACAUGCAUGGUUCUGGCAACAGUAGUCUUGUAACAAAAUCUGGAUGAAAUCUCUUGGGUGUUGUUUGAGAUUAACAGCAAGAAAGUCGCAGGAGGAUCUUUGUCAGGUUUUUUCUUCUGCUCCUGCUCUUGGAGGAGUCUUUUACCCCUCCAGAAAUCUGAUGCGUGUGCUUGUGCGUCUAUGUGUACUUAUAGAAUUGAAAUAUGUCUUCUUCUUUUUUGAGAAAAAUAUCCUAAAUUUAUGAAUUUUGCCGCAUACUUACAGAAUUGAAAUCCUUCCUUUAUUUUAAGAAAGAAAGUAGAGGAGAAUCACUAGCAGUUUCUGGGCAUCAAGCUCAUCAACUGGAUAUUGGGGUAGGGGGGACCAUACACAAACAUGAAUCUGGUCGAGUCAUUUGACCCACGAGAUUCACCUUUAUGAGUUCAUAUUCUAAUUUCGGUAGCAACAGUACUAGAAUAAGAAUAUCUACGAUGAACAUUUGCAGCUGGACGGAACUUGCGUGUAUUUGACAUAUACUACAUAAAAGCUAAAACUGGGCUGUUUAGUAACAGGAGCGCACAACAUUAUCAGAGGCAACCUCACCAGCUCAAAUCAGGCAAACAUUUGAUUCCAUGCCAUAACAAGAACAGACGCAGUACCCCUACAUUAGGUUACAUGAAUCAAUCGCACCAUGAAGAUGAAAUGCAGAUUCUAUUCUGAUUAACUAAUCUUUGUUUCUCGAUCCCUAUUCUGUUGUAUAGGAUGCAGCACGAGUAACCAGAACCGCAAACCUCGAUGGUCUCUAUCCUAACACACAAUACAGCAAAAUCUGUGGAUCAGCAUUGAAGCAACUGUGUCCACAGUCUGCUCUUCCCCGGGCAGGCCUUUGCCAACACCUCCUUCAGGCUCCCCAGCAACUCUAACCUCUCUUCCACCUUCCGUUUCACCACCGCAUCCUGCUGCAUAUGCAACAAGAACAUGUCACAACAUUAGUGGUAUUCUUCUCCUACUUUGACUAAAUGGCACACCAAAUCUAUAACAGUUCAACUUGGGUUUGUAAAAGAAGAGGUUGCCUUUGAUAUCCAAAGAAUGUAGAGAGCUGCAAGCUCCGCCUGGAUGCGAGUUUCGCCGAACUCAUCUCCAGGAGCAUCCAGACAGUCUGAGAGGAGUUGUAUCUCCUGGCCUAGGAAGAUGUCUGCCAGGGACUCCUCCUUUGACAGGCCGGUUUCCUCAUGGCUGAGCAAACGUUGCACCCACCACUGUGAGAGGAACCGACGAUGGGUCCACAAGGACUGCACAAACACAAGUAAAAUUUACCAAUCAAUCACAUUCCCCCUGUAAUAAUACCAUCUUUGAUUCACUCAGGCACAAACCUCUCUCCCUUGGUAGCGUCUGAUGAGCAUCUCAUUCCACCGCAGUUCCUCCUGUAAGAUCAUAUACAAAUAAAUCUCCACUAACAUGGCUUAGGAAACUAAUGUUCCAAAGCACAAGUGAAUUGCACACAUGCUCGUUUCUCCGCUUUGUAAUAAAUGCAUAAAUAAUGAAAAUAGAGGUAUAAAUUUGCCUUUAUAGAUGGCACAAGGAGCUUUAAGUAAUCUCAGCAACCAAAGUGAUUAUUAGCCUUGGAUGAAAUUCACCAUACCGUCCACAAUAGAUGAGCUUCUGACUCCCAGUGAAGGGUAUCUCCUCCGUUCUCUUCACUGCGGUUGUCUAGCAAGGCAAGAAGCAGGGACUGUAAAGAAGAGAUAACACACCAUUUAUGAAUACUGGCCAUGAAUCACACCAUGUAUGAAUGCGAGAACAAAUCCAAAAACAACCCACAUUUUUUAGCAAGGUGUCACUGAAAAGUUCUGAAACCGAUACACAAAUAUGCUGUGCAGUGCAGGCUCUCAAAAUAUGCCACAGAUCAAUAUGAUAAAUCAGCAGUAAGGUACAAAUUUUCCUUUACAGUAAGUAAUACUCCUUCCGAUCCAUCAAAAUGUCGCCCACUUAGUACAAAAUGGGCGACACUUUUUAUGGAUCAGAGGGAGUACUAAUAGUGCAAGCUACAGAAGUAAAGAAGGACCUAACCCUGCGGUAGUGAAAGCAGCAGUUGUCGGCAACAUGCAGCUCACCCCAUUUUAUUGACUUGUUCAACUCAUCCAGCACCUUGAAGAAACAAAAAUUAGAUGCAAGUGGUGAUAGGAGAGUCUAGAACAGUAAUGGACAAGAUUAAACCUAUGCUUGCCAUGGUAGUGCUCAGAAGUCCACAUACAAGUUUAAGAAUGAGAGACAAGGAAUUUAAUCAGUUAUAGUUUAUUAUUUAUGGUCACCUGUUUUGGUUUCAUGUAAGGAAUAAGCCAGCAUCGAUGCCUCCAUGCACGGUAGUUCAUCUUUGAUUUCUGCAAAUGGGGCAAAGUAAGGGACCACCUCAGUGGCAAUCGAGUGAAAAAAAUUGUAAAUCGCACUCGGUUUUCAAAAAAAUGCCGUUGAACAAAAAUAAAAUUGCAGUACACAACAAAAAAGUGCAAUUGACUUGCACAAAGUGCAAAUAAAUCAGAUCAUGGGUUCAAACCAUGAUAAUCCUUUCUUAUUCCCAAAACCAUAGCCUGCAUGAAUCUCUGUUCAGAUCCAACGGCUGAAAAAUCGAGUGUGCUCUAAAUUUUUUUCAAUGGAAUGUGAACUAGCACAUCCGGUAAACUAAGACUAUCUUCUCGCACACUGUAUCUAGGUACUUGAAUGUGUCUACGAGAUUUAGUACCCGGACAGUUAGAAAGGAAAUAAUACAGUUGGUUGCGAAGAGUACAUAUUAAAACUCUGAAUAUAUGUAAUUAUUAUGACCUCUGCAAUCUGUUUGACUAGUACCGAUUCCUUGUCUAUAAUCUGUGGCAUAUCCUGGUGGCUUUGUGCAAGCUUUGUGAUGACCCAUCUCCUGUGGUAGAGGAAGUAGUUACUUAUGGUAGCACAAACAAACCUAGGGAAAUCAAUCAACAGUAAUUUACAGCAGCAGAAGAGAAGGCCGGGUUAUCUGUAUCUGACAAUGAAGGAGCUGCAGUACCUGUGACUCCAGGUGCUCUCAUUCUUCAGCGCAUAGGAGAGGAUCAAGGCACAGAACUGCAGCUCAGCUUCGAGUUGUGUGAGAUUAUGAUCGGCAGACAGCACUUUCUUCCUGCAAGAGAUAGAUGAUCUCUAGUGUAAACAAGACAAAAGGGCAGAGUAUCCAUGGUGAUAAAGGAUGGCAUCCCGCAUCCCUGUAUGUAUGUGUGUUACCUGGAAUUCCACGCAGUGAACGAGUCAGGGCAGAGUAUGAGCAGCGCCUUGCUAUGCAACAUGAUCAAGGCAGGAGCAUCGGCAGAUGGCGAUGUUGUUGCUGCUUUGGAGUGUGCCUGGCGUGCCGCGCGGUAGAGGUCGGGCAGGACGUGGGUGGAGAUGGCGAGCUUGUGGUCUGAGCACCACAAGUAUGGGGAUUUGUUGCUGCCGAGGAGCGGUAGUGAGUCCAUCUGCGUGGGAUGCAGGAACCCCACCUCGUCUCUGCCAUGCCAUGGAAUCGAUCAGGAAGGAGGAGAAGGAGGAGGUGUCACCAAUGGGGGAUUCCUUCCGGGAUUGGAUCUAGACCAAUGCGGGGAAAGAGAGAGAGAGAGGGAGGGGAAAUUCUUAGCUUACAUGUUGGGGUCGUCAUGGAGGAUUCGCUCAAAGUCGUGGAGGAGGAGAUCUCCUGCUCCUGCUCCCGAUUCCACCAUUCCGUCGGGGGUGGACUAUCGAGCAGCUCGACUCGUUAAGAGCAUCUCCAGGAGAAGCCCUGUCCCAUGCCCAAUAGCUAAAUAUAAGGAAUUUGGCCCAAAAUCAUCCUCGAGCAGAAGCCCCAUCCGGUUCCUCAUCUCCAGCCGUCCCCCAAAUCAGCCUCGGGGUUCCCCAUAUGGAGCAGAGCGAUCGGGGAUCCCUAUCCCCCAACCGUCGAGGUGAAUCUUCUCUCCCGCCGAUUCUUCUGUCCAGAUGCGUCCGCGCCUUUCUCCGUCGACGCUAAUUUCUUCCGUCCCCUGCUCUGCCGCCGUCGAUCUGAGUUGUGGCCGCCGUCGUUGGGGAUGGAGGGAGAGGGAGAGGUAGGGAGAGAGGCUCAGGAGAUGAAGCAGGACUGGCAACGCUGGACAGGCGGAGCAGAGGGCCGCGCGGUGCAGGGGGCAGAGGGGCGGCGGCGCUGGGCGGAGCACCGGCGGUCAGCGGCUCCGUGGGUGCGGGCGUGCACAGGGAGAGAAAGGAGAAGACCGGGUAGUGUAGUCUGGCUUGAGACUGACAGGUGGGCCAUGCUGAUUGAUCUUCGUUUUCUUCUUUAUACUUGGACGUUUUGGUGUUUGUAAAAUUUGUUUGAAGGCGAAGUAACCCGCUCUACGGUGUAAACUGUGAAAAAUUCAUCGAAAAAACUUCAAAAAAAUCACAUAUGUUAGAAAAGUGAUGUUUUAUAUAUGUGUAAAAUUUCAAGUCCAAACUCAAUUUCGUUUGGUAGCAGCGAAAAAUACAAAUUCUGCAUGAAUAGUGGUUUUUCAGUGUUGACACUAUUCAUUGUAAAUUUUUCUUUUUAAUUUCUCCCAAAUGCUUUUGAUUUUGAACUUGAAAUUUUCCAGGUUUGUAGAACAUCACAGUCCCAACAUAUGGUAUUUUCUUAGAAUUUUUUUGAAAUUUCUAAACGUGGUUUUUAUGGAGUUUGCACGGUUUGCACCGAAUUGAGGGUUUCAUCGGAUACUUCGCCUUGUUUGAAUGUCCGAACGAUGUCCGAUUUUGAUAAAAUUUAAGAAAAGGUUUAGAAUGGUGUUAUCCAUCUACAGCAAGAGCAAGUUUGAGAAAAGGUUUCAAAUAUAUGAUUUCAAAUAACUCAUUUGAAACAUUGAAGUUUAAAAAAUCGGUUGAAGAUAUAAAUAUAAUAUAGACAAGUGAAUUAUAGAGGAUGAGAUUUGGAGAAUCUGCUGAAGAGAGUUGAAAUUUGAGAGGGAGAUAUGGGAUAGGGAAUCCCUAUAUAUGAAAUUUGGGGGAUAAGAUUUGGGGCAUCUCUUGGAGUUGCUCUAAGGCUCGACUCGUUAAGGCUUGUGAUCGUUAAGGCUCAACUUUUUAACAUCGGAUUUAUAUGAAACUAGGUGGACAUGUAUAUGAAACUGCCUGGACAAAAAGGCACCAUGUUUCAUGUUAACAUCGGAUUUAAAAUUUCCAGAACAAAACUACACGUCACAAAACAGAUUCAUGCUUCCGCCACACAAACCACCGGAUCCAUCCGAGUGGAGUUGAGUUAUAGUUAAAACACGGUUUGCAUGUCGUAUAUGAGUUUAACAAGGAGACGGGACUAUGCAUGUGCUCAACACGUGAAGAGCAAAAAAAAAAAACUAAACAACAGUGUGCUCGAGUCCUCGAUAGGUAUUACAGGUGGCCAACGGGCCAGGAUGGGCCCGCAUCUGAAUGGGCUCAGCACGGUCCAAGCCCUUUUAGCCCGUUUAUAAGUGAGUCAUGCCAUGCCGGGCCGCUCCGGCAAAACCCAGCCAGGCCGGGCUCGUUUACCCCGACGCCCCCCCCCCCCAAAAGCCCACUUCCUGUAAUACCUUAAAAAAAUGAAAAAUACAAAAAUGUGCAAACUUUCAUAUGGGAAUAAAUUUGAUGGUUUCGGUUUUUAGAGAAACGGGGCGCUCGUGCGUGCUGGGCUGAGGAGAUGGAGCAGGGAAGAAGGAAGGCCCGGGGAAAAUAGAAGAGAGAGGGGGGAAGGCCCAGGGGAAAAGAGAUGAGGGCUGAGGAAAUGGACCGAAGAAAAAGAGAAGAGAGAGGGGAAAGACAUAGGGGAAAAGAGAUUAGAUGGGCCAGAGGAGAGGGAUGUAAACAAAAUAAAAAUUGUUAAACAGGCAGUGCUGGCCCGUGAGACCCAGGCGACGUGCAGGUGGGCUUUUUGAAAAUGUCCGGCCCGUUGGCUAGCUGUACUUGGUAUGCACAUUGAUUGGAGAGAUGCACCAUGUACGUACGAGACUUGCAUGGGAUUUCAACUAAUACCACAGUUCGCCAAAAAAAACUAAUACCGCAGCUAUAAAUAUAGAGAUCGCCAAACAACCACAGAUGAAAUGUUUCCAGAAUUAGAUUACAGGAGAUGAUCAAGUUUUCUAUUCUCUACCAAAACUUAUAGAGAAAUAAGAUAUCAAAUUAACUUUUUGGGUCCAGCUAGGAAACAGUUGGUCGAAAUCAUAAGCAAGACACAGGAUCUUUAUCUAAUGGUCAAAAUAAAUAAAUAAAGUUAAACCUCGUUAAAAUAGAAAGGUAACUCCGAAAUUGACUCGUAAGUAUCAGCUCCAUGAAACUAGCAACCCUAAGGUGGGCUAGUGUUGAUGAUAUUUGUGUUGGGUGGGUGUACAACAACUGAACUCUACAACAUUCGAGGAGACAAAAGCUUUUAAUUGUCAUCUUAUAUAUUAAAGUUAUAUAUUACUAAACAAUGAAACCAUGAAAGUUUUGAAGCAAGUAAAAAUACAAUUUAAAUUGCUAAGGAUCCAGUAGAUAACGAAAAAAUACAAGUUAUAAUGCCUAGAAUUCUAUUAUUUUUCAUAUACGCAUCUAGAAUUCCAUAUAUGGUUAAGUCGAGAGAUUCAACGUAUUAUUGGUCAUAUCCUAACAAAUAAAUUAAUCAAGAAGAUAGUAUACUUUAUGUAGGCUUCGUUUGGUUAUAGAUAUUGAGAGGCUCUGAAAUUGAAUUGGGUUCUUCAGAAAAUUAAAUUUAAAUUGAAUACCAAUUCCGUGGUUCUGAAUUGAAUUGGCUCUUGAAAUUCCAAUGAAACACCAAUUCCAAUUUCUUUUCUGGAUAUACAAAACUUAGAUUUGUAUAUUUAUAUAUAUAUAUAUAUAUGAGUAUGAAUCUAAUACAACAACUAGUUAAGUCUAAGUUCACACAAUUGUAUAUUUAUAUGUUAUUGUAAAUUCAAAAUUUAGAAUUGCACAAAAAAGAAUAUGUUGUUGUCUUUGGUUACACUAGGGAGGCUAGUCACCGCACUGCAACUCAUCGCGCCUCUAUCACUGCCCUUCCGCCGCUAUAGCCGUCGCCCUCGUGAUGCCACCACCCACCGUCGCGCCGGCCCCCACGACCCAAACCCUUAAGGAGCUCUGGAGCGACUUGACAACAUCCUGGCGUCUAUGAUGCCUGCUGAGGUGCGCAUCCGCCAGCAAGCCGAGAAAGCUGCGCAGGAUGAGCGCGUCAGGGCUGCAGCCGCGGAAAGCGUCAGAUCAGAAGCCGCUAACCGGCCUGCAAUGUUGGUGGUGGAAAGGGUGGAAGCCGCGACGUCCGCGCCAAAGCUCUAUCAGCCGUCAGGCCCGCAGCACGCUUGCGGGCGGCUCAACGAUACGUCAGCCGACUCGAACCGUGACUCGAAUCAUUCGUCAUGUGGGAACUCGCGUGUGCACCGGACUCUGAUGCCAAGUGUGCGGCGGAAGCACGAAUUAAAACACGCCUCAUAGUUGAAAGCACAACACCGGUUAGGUCCUGAAAUAAAUCCAACGAAAUGCGAGCACCCAUGUCAAUCGAAGUCUUGAACUUAGGUGGGCUGGUCCCACCACAAGGAACCAACCACCUGAGCUACGCCUAAUUCGCAAUGAAAAAUAUAAUAUGUUAGAAAUUUAGAAAUCAAUAAAAAAAACAUUGAUCAGCCAAUAUAUAUCAACCAACAAAGUGUCGUCACAGUUAGUCGGGCGUGUGUUGCUAAAUAACAACGGGUUGAUCAAAUGCUAUUUAUACAAUAUGAAAACACAUGUCACCAUCAGGUAUGACAAUUCCAUGAUUUUUGACUGUGCAGAACAAACAAUGACGAACUUCCUUCAUGCUUUCCUCCUCUCUUUGCUUCCUUUCACCACAAUGUUUAUCUCACUGUACAAGACUUAUUAGAGAGCAAAUCUUCUCCAAGCCUUUGUCCUGCGAAAUGAGACACAUGCACAAAGGUGUAAUUGUUAGUAGUGUACAUGUAUAUGGUUAAUAAAUUCCUCAUAUCUUCACUGGUGAAAUAUGAAUGCUUCCAACUUGUGAGAAAUAGUAAGAUUGAAAUCCAUAAAUGAUUUAGUGUGCUAGUACUGGCAAAAAACAUUUGAAGCUACAUCUGGACGAUUAGUUUACAUACAGAGUGAUUUCAUACUCCACUGUUGUUGUCAGAGCUUAUUUCAUUUCCCAAAAAGACUGCAUAUUAAGUGUCAAAUUCCUGGAAAGACAUCCCAUGUAAAAUAUUAGCAUACUAUAGAUUUACUUGUAAGAUGCCUAACAAACAUAGUACAAGGACACUGAUCUUUCUCUUGCAUUUAGUCUUAACAAGACAUAGAUCAUCAUAAAAUAAACAACACAAUAUGUACUUGUUUCUAAAGUCUCAUUGUCUCAUUCUCCCCUUAAAAAAGAGGAAGUUACAUUCUUACCACACUUAUUUUGUACUAUACGAUUGUCAGAAUUUCAUUCCACAAGUACAGACAAGAUUUUCCUUUGGAUACAUGCAAGAUUGAAAGUCCCGAACUGUGAAACCUGGUAUGCAAAUCGAGUUGAAGAAAAAGGCAUACUAUUUGUUUGUUGUACCAAGGUCUAUCAGAAUCUCCCACCGACAGCUUGUCAAGCUACUGCGCAAUUUUGAUAUGCCAAAUUAACAUUACAUAUCUUCAAAAGAAAGGUUAAUCUUCACGGUCAACCUAGGAGUAUUUGGGCCUGUUUGGAUUGAGCCCCAUUUAGCCCUGCCAAAUAUUGGCAUGACCAAAUCAAAGACAUGACCAAAAUAUUUGCAAGAUAUAGGUGUUUGGAUUGUAUUUGGUUUCAAGCCAAAUGACUUGCCAAAUAUUUGGCCACUUUAAUUGGUACUCACUCCGAUUCUAAAUUGUUGUCGAAAUAUUACAUGUAUCUAUACUCUUUUUAAGAAUAAAUACAUCCAUAUUUGGGCACAUUUGAGUCAAGAAUUUAGGAUCAGAGGGAGUCCUGCAUAAAACUAAUUAGAUGGUUCAUAGUUUAACAACUUAAAAGUUCAGCUUAGUAUGAGUCUUGCACUACUGAGCCCAAUGUGAUGUCAACCAUAUUCUUUAAGCACCGUCGAUGGUUGCAGUUUAAGGUUAAUUUGCAUGCAUAUUAAAGGGCAAGAUGACAGGCGCAAUGAAAUAAAUUAUAGCUAGAUGUACUGCAAUCCGGAAAAGAGAUUGCAAAGAGAAGUAUACUAAUCAAACACUAUACAAUAUGAUUAUUAUCUAGAAACACCAAGAAACAACGAUUUAGUAUGGAUACUUCAGAUCUGACAUCCAUACAUGGUGUUGUCCUGCCGAAAUUAAAUCCAAAUUGAUGAGUACAAGAUUGCCGUGGCACAUAAACCUGAAUAUUGGGACGUUCAAGUAAAACCCUACCUAAAAUAGCCAAGAAGAAAGUUAAUCACGCCACAUGUAAAGGGGAUCAAGGUGGGUCUGAGGGGAUUCUUGAGCUCUGUCCUUGGGGUGCGACUUGAAUCCUUGCAGAGAGUAGGAAGAAAAUAUGAGAUCGCCGUUCGCGGCCGCCGGAGCAGCGCCGAUUCACUCAGCCGGCUGGCCGACGGCAGCUGCACAUCUGAUGGCCUCCUCUCUCUGGUCCUUGCGGUGUAUAACUUGGGAGAGGAAACAAUGGAAGAGAAGAUUAACUCGGCCGGCGGAAGUGCGUGCAGCGGAGACCUGCGGCACCGUGGGAGAGCAGCGACGGGGCGGCGGGCGCUCGAAGGCAAGAGAGGAAGGCUUGAUGCCUUGAUCGGAAGAAGUGGUAGCUGCGUACGUGCGCAGUAAAAGGAUGGUCAGAUCGGGAGGCAGAGUGCAGUCUGACGGAAAUUAAUCACUACACUUACACAUCUAAAAAAAUUAGCAGACUAAAUCUCAGUGGUUAGAUCUGGUUUAGUGGGCCUAAUGGUUGGGUAUUGUGAGGUGGAAAUGCUUUGUGUACGUUUUGUGGGGUGGUUUUAGAAAAGAAGAUGUUGGUGCCUUUAUAAGUAUUCCAGUAGUCCGAAUGGUAACGGCGACGAAACCCGCCGGGUAGUGGCUGCCCAAACCUGUCCCCGCGGCCCUCAUCCCAAAUCCGUCGCCGUCCCCGGUCGCGGGUUUCGGUUUUCUCCCAGCCCCAUCUCCAUCGGGUUUUUCAUCCCCGUUGGGGAACCCGAACCCGCCAGCAUUUCAGCACCAAGGCAAAGUUUCAGCAGCAACAUGAAUGGAAAAAAACUCAUUUCAGUUCCAAAAUAAGACAAAACAAUAUAAUUUAGACACCAUUCACACAUAUAACAACAUCAUAUAGUUCUCACAUAUAACAUCAACAUUUGACACAUAUAAUAACACCAUUUGGGGUAGAAAUAUGGGUUGUAUCGGGCCAUUUUUAUGGGCCAUAUUGAAUUUUGGUGGGUUUCACGGGUACCGGGUUCGGGGAGUGCUGGAACGGGUUUGAACUCGUGAAACCCGCUGGGUUUCACUUUUGACCCAUGAACAAACCUGCGGAGAUUGAAUUUGACCCAAACCCGUCCCCUAAUGGGGUAAAAACCCGUGGGUCUUCGGGUUUCGCGGCCCCAUUGCCAUCUUGAUCCAGUAGAGAUGGAGGAAAAAGGUGCAGAGGCGGAGACGGGGCAGCUAGGGAUGCGGGAGGCUCCAGGUGGAGUAGAUGGGCGGGCAUUCUGGGAAGAAGAUAAAACAGAUGGACUACACCGGCAGGUGGAGAUGGCUAGCGGCUCCAAGAGGUGAGAUGGUUGGCGGCUGCAGCUAGUGGAGAUGGGUGCGGCUAGGAGGAGAUGGAUGGCGGCCCGAGAGAAGAUGAGUGCUUACUCGCGACGGGUGAGGCAUGAGUUGGCCGGCGGAGAAUGAGGAGCUUGCUCGCGACGGUUGAGGCAUGAGUUAGCCGGCAGAGAGUGAGGAGCUAGGUGCGCGACGGCUGCAUGUGGAGAUGGGGUGCAAAACUGAACGUGCACCAAAAUGUGACCCAAUUGAAGGAAGAGCUUAAUGUUCCAUUUCAUAUGGAAAUUGUGACCCCGUGUGCUUGGAGCAACUGAAAUGAUUUUAUCUUUGAGCAAAUUCAGCCAAACUUCUACAGAUGCCGAAGACUUUUCAAGUAGGAAACUUAAUCUUGUCUUCCAUAGAUCCAACAGAAAGAAAUAUGCUAAUUUCGAGACUUGGAUCUCAAAUUUUAGAUAACCUUUUUAUUUUUUGGGGUACUUCGCACCACCCCUGUACAGUUUUAUUUGCAAUAUAUGACAGUAGGUCUUUAACCUACUGUCUUUUCCCUCCAAAAGAAAAUGAAGUUACCACAUAAUCUGAUCGUCUAUAGAUUCCUAUGCAUAUGAUCAAUCUGAAGAUCGGUCGAGUAUAACAUCAAGAUAUUAUGUUCACGGGGGUCCACUGAUUUGGUUUGAUCCGAGGUGAUAUUGAUCAGAUCGGUGCACGAUUGAGAGGAGUCCCAAUGGUGGCCUAUGUUGCUAUCUCUGGAGUACAUACACUUAGGCAUCUCCAAGCGUGAGGCCAAUUUGUUCCUUCCAUUUGUCCAUUCUGUGGGAGAUAGAUGAGGGUGGAGAAAAUAUGAUGUUGUCCAAUGAGAGCACUCAUUUAUCCUUUUCAUUAGUCUUUGACAUGUGAGUCAGGUGGACAAGUGGACAAAUUUUGCACAAAUAAGAACAUCUUCUCAAAUUUGGGGAAGAAAUGAGGGAGAUGAACACAUAUUGGAGGAAGGGGGGAGGCCUCACUGGAUUGCAUUUUUUUUCCAAGAACCCCAAAUGGACAAAUGAGGAGGGUUUGGCUUGUGCCCUUGGAGAUACCCUUACAUCAUUUCAUUGUUAAAGGAGUCGUUUUCGUGAUGUGCAUUAAAAUCCUUGUCUAAUCCAGCGACGUCAGAGUGCACGUUUUUAUCCUUUGUUGAAAGUGUUGCUUCGGAAAAACUUAGUUGUUGCUAUAUUUUUAUUUUAUUUGUCGUAGUUAUCUUGUUGGUAGUUACUUCAUGUACUCUGUUUGUAGAAUGAUGUUUUGACCUGGCCUGACAUCUCCUUUAAUAAAUUAUGGUGGUGUGCAUCCUAGAUACACAGAGGCUAUGAAGUUUUACCUUUAUUUUCUUGAAAAAAAACAAAUAAACCAACUCUCAACUCUGAUAUAUCUUUCGAAAACAUUAACUCUUCUUUCUCCCAUUUUUAGGAAAAUGCAUGUAUGAAUUGAUGAAGCUCUUAAUUUUGGAUUCUCGUAGCUGGCUGAGCUAGCAAGAAGAGAAAAUGUUCCACAAAGCUGGCUAAGCAAUCAAGGAGAAAAUGGAAAGAAAAACCAGUGUGUGUAUAUGUACAUGAUUCAACCGCUAGUCACACGUACUCUAAAUAUCACAUGUUUGUGUUGUAUCUAUAUCCAUCUAAGGUUAGAUCGAUAUAUAUACAGGCCGGGAGUAUAUGUGGGGAGCUUACAUGAACUGAUGAGAAAUCGAUCUCAAUUACUUACUUGUGCGCCUUCUGUUUCCCCUUGUUACAUCGAUCAUGUGGGGAUAUCGAAGCAGCUGCAACCUCUAGGGUUUCAUUUCAUCGAACUGAUCGGUGAGAGGUGGCCGGUGUGCUGCCAUGAGAAAAUGAAGCUGCCAGAUGAUCUGCAGAUCGCCUGCACAGUUUCUCAUGCGUGCAUGUAAUCAAUCUGAAGAUCGAGUACACAGCACCAAGAUACACAUGUGGUGCGUGGAGUUCAGAUCAUGCUGGCAGCUUCAUCUACUUGUGGCGCACAAGCUAAUGAUCGAAUGGAAUGAACAUGAACACAUCGAUCUACGACCCUCAUAUAUACUUACCGGCCAUCGUCUCUCAUCCUUCAUGGAAAAGAGAUCAUAGAUAUGGAGAGAGAGCUGAGAGAGGUUAGGGGAAUGGGGGCUGGGAGAUGCUGGUACGGGGCUUAUGGCUUUUUAUGGAGCGCUUAAUCAUCCUCGCAAAUGGAAUGACGUCGACUCUUGGUUUGUUUGGUAGCCACGAAGCUGAUGCGGGCGCGAGAAUAAUAAUCCAAAGGUGGAGAACGGUCCCAAACCCAAAGGAAGGAAAAGAGAAUAACGGCAAGCAAGCAUGCUCAGUUGCUCACUCACUCACUCACCCACCAUAUGAAUAUGAUCCAAGCUAGCACGCGCGCGCCCGAGAUUAACAUAUGCAAAAAAGGCCGCAUAACGGCAUCAGCAUGCAUGCGCUGGAGCUUAAACUAUAUAUAUCCGCGCCUAGAUUUGGAGCUGCGUGAUCAUGCCUGGAACUCUUUCCAACCGGUAUUCGUGUACGCGUGUCGCCCUUUUGGCUACGAGUUCCAGAUGAGAUGACAGAGAUGUACUCCUUCCGUCUCAUAUUAAAUGAUUCAAAUUUAUCAAAAUAUGAAUGUAUCUAUGUAAAAAAACGUCUUAGAUACGGAGGGAAUACUCGUAAUUUGGUCUAACCUAUCAGCUCCUAACUGCUACUGCUAGUAACUUCGGUAGAUUUGGUUCAGGAUCUACCGUGGGGGCUAGUAGUGAGCAGACCAUGAAUCGACAAGUCAGUACGUUGGUGUCUAUGUCCCGGUGUGAAGUGAAGUCUGCACAAGUCUUGACGAGUACACCUGCCGUAUCCUCUGCAAACCGGCUGGAAAAGCACCACGCUGUAUCCUCUGCACAGCGGCUGAAAACAGACAAAGCUGAAUAAAUAGACCCAUCGCUCGCCACGGAUGGGACCGGAUGAAUACUAGUAGCAGUAUCUCCUGUAAUUAACAGCGCCACAACACGAUUUACACGCAAAAAUUCCGGACCAAGAACGAUCCUUCAUCCAGAAAGGUGCGAACAAUGGACUAAGAUCAUCAGAAUUCCAGAAAAUUGUAGUACUACCAUUAACAAUGAAGUUUACACUACGCGAUAUACCAUACAAUCUGUUCCGUCCAACCAGCAAUACAAUUAGUCUAUCGGUAUAAACUAGCACUACAAUAUACUAUAGUGUACAAUAGAGCUAUCAGCCUAUUACUAAAAUGGUUUUAUAGUCCCCUCAAAAUAAAAAUCAAACAAUUGGUAUACAGAUUCAAUGGUCAUGAAUUAUCGUGUAAGAGUGUUUGGCUUUACUGUUAAACUUAGAUGAUGAUUCAGAUUCUGCGUUUAUGCAUCAACAUAUCUAGGUCUCCUCGUCUCCGGCUCUGGCAUCCCAGAUUCAUCCUUCAUUCCUUCACUUAGCAGCUCCUCCCAGAAAUCGUCAGUCAGCUCGACCUCACCGCUCACCUGAUUCUGGCAACCUUUGUCAUCCUUCGUGCCCUUCCCAAUCCCCUGAAUGCUCAAUGCUAAAUUCUCCAGCUCAGAGAAUCCAGGCUGAUUUGGCACCGCGAAUUCCCUUGGCUCCGACAGGAUUGUCGACUUGUGUUGCUCGUUCUGAGUGGCCUCCCUGGGGCUGAGGAACGGGGCCAUGUCGAUGGACCGUCUCCUCUUCAAGGAAGCAUCGUCCUUCCAUUUAUCUUGUUGCUCGAUCAACUGAAGAAAUAAAUCAGGGUUCUGCAUUGCUCUUGCUAAGAAACCCAUCAUCUGGAGCUGCUUCUGCUCAGCAAGGUGUAGCCUCUCUUCCAUGGCUCGCAUGUCAGCUCUCGUGCUCUGCUGAUCAUGCCUUAGUUUUACCACCUCCGCAAGUAAGGCGUUCUUGUCACGCUUUAGUAUUUCAAUUUCCUCGUCCAUUCCGAACUGACCGACCUCGAGACAGGAUCCAAGGACCUGUUGUUGUGAUGAAGGGAGAUAAGGCAGUGGUUUCCUUCUCUUUAUCAUCUUUAGAAGCUGUCUCUGGCCCCUAAUGAAACCCUCAUUCGCAAAUUCCCAUCUGUCUGGAUCAAUCUUUCUGAAACCCUGCACGGUGCAGUAUAAGCAAAAUAACUAGUGUUAUUUCCAUAAACAAAAGAGUAGCAAAACAACUGCAGUUCGCUCAAGUCCACAAGCCUCGAACAGCAGAGCUCAACUUAAAUGGUAGGUUUCACAUGGUUUUUCGUCAAAAUUUAAGCAGUGAAGAAUAGUAGUAGUAUACUAUAUUGCUUGGUGGUGAUCAAACGAGUCUUCUAGAACAAAUAAGCAGGUUCUUGUAGCUUCAUCCAUUGUCUUGAUCCAUCUAGCUACACAGUAAGAAGUUGAAGAAAUAGCAUGUCAGAAAUUAAAUAUGUUUGUCAAGGAGAUACAGUCUAUUCAGUCUCCCAGCAUCUCCUAUUCUGGAUUAUUGAAAACAUUUCAGGAAGUAAGGUUCGAUGCACAUGCCUCUGGCAAAGGAUUUGUCACAACUCACAAGAACUCUUUUCCUUUGAAACCAAAAGGAUUCACCAUGUCAUCACGUAGACAUACAGUGGCAGUCUGGCAGAGAUAUAAGAGUUCUCCUAAAAUAGUAUCAUAGCUAUAAAAGUAUGUUGAAGAGGUCUAGCUAUCCUAAUCCCUCAAACAAGGGCCACGAACAUAUGAUUCCAGUCUGGAGUUCUGCUAAUUAUUAUACAUAAAAAAUCUCACAGAAAGUGAAAACAAUCACAGUAAGGAUCGCUUACUGUUGAUGCAAAGAAGAGUUACUAAAAGCUCUUCCUUUCAAAACGUGUUACUCUUCUUUCACAAUUUGAACCAAAUUAUCAAAUUGUACUAUACUUUCCAUCUUAGUCCUGUAUGACACUCAAGAAUCAGAUGCAUAUCGAUGUGACCAUGAACCAUGACACUAAACACAAAAAUAAGAAUUAUCUUCUAGAGGUUCUUUAGGAAAUUAUCUGCUAGACAAAAACUAUCCACAGUUCGCCGGUUGUUGCGUAUUCCAUCAUUGAUCGGUCAUUCUGAAAAAUGUGAACAUUGAACACGAGGUAGAGUCUUAAUCUUUCACUCAAGUAAUUCAGCGACAUAAAGAAACGAAUCGCUGCAAGUAGGUACAAUUCUUUCACAGAUAUCUAGACUGGACGCUGGUAGUGGUACUCCUCUUCGUUGCAGGAGUACAAUGCAAGAUAGUAGGGAAUUGGCGAAUUGCAGCAACAAAAAACGACUCGUGAGUGCAGGAUAACUGAACAAGUAUAAGUUGAGCAGCACGAGCCAGAUUAAGCAGAAGAAUCUGGAGGCUAGGAGAAGAGAUACUCACGUAGGUGUUGAGCUGGCGGACGAAGCUGGAGAAGUUGUUGUGCUUGAAGGAUCGCGGGAGCAGCACGGCGGCGAAGACGUGGGGGUCCCAGACGACGAAGCUGUUCCCGGCGCGGCCCCACGAGACGACGCCGUCGGUGGCCGGGUCCGCCACCAGGUCGAACGUCUUGGUCAGGAACGGCGGCGGGCCCGUCUCGUGCAGCCCCUCCAUCGGCCGCGGCGCCUCCUCUUCCUCCUCCGGCGACCACUCCUCCUUCACCCUCCCCGGCACCGGCAGCACUGCGUGCUCCAUCAUCCGCCCGUCGUGUGCGGAUCAAUCGCCCACCAAACAACCCCAAGGUGAAGGUGGGAUCUGAGUCGCCCGUUCUCGGAAAAACGGAAGAAUCCUGCGCGAGGAUCACAAGAACCAAAGGAAGAGUCAGAACUCUCACAAGCGCCUCGGCUCCGGCCUUUACGCGCGGGAGAGUGGGCGGCGGGCGCUGAUAAAUACCUAGUACGGGGGUGGCAAGAGGGCGCGUGGUUCAGGUAUCAGGAGAGGGGGGCGGAAGGUUCCAGGCCCGCGCGGCGCUUUUGUGGCCGGCUCGGAAGCUUCUGGAUGCCGGAGCCCGGGAUGUGGCUGACGUUGGUGCGCACGGCGCAAGUGGCAGGCGACCGCGAAUCGGCACUCGACAGGCAGAACCGACGGGCGACGGCGACAACUUUUUUGUGCCAUUUUUCUUUUCUCUGGUCUGAAUCCGGACGUCUCGGCGACAUUUUUGCGGAGGGCCUUGCGGAGAUCCUGAUUGGCUGCAAGUUGCCGCGAGCCAGAUAUUCUGCGCCGCCCUGGUACACGAAAGCUGGUUCUUUUUCCCGGGCUUUUUCGUGGAUUCUCUCACCCGACGGGGGAAAAAACUCUCAUCAUCGAAGUGCUGAUCACGCCUCAGUUGUUGGCACUCCUGCUAGUACGAAAUGUGUUACUUACUGGACUAUUAUCUCUUUUUUGUUGACAUUGUGUCUGAACAAUUUGUCGCUUUUGCAAACUGGAAUAAGGAAUGCUCAUCGACAUCCAUAAACUUUUUCAGUUCUGUAGGCAUCAACAGCACAAUGAUUGCAAAGAUUUUGUCCCCGCUGUGAGAUACGGCGAAACGGACGGGGGGCACUGCAUUAAUGGUACAAAGGUCAACAGGUGAACCACGAAAUGCAAUGGCACGAGAUUAGGUAGGAGGAAAUGAACACAGGUAUCCAAACAUUAUUCAGAUAUAAGAUGGGAUUUCGGACCACCAUAGCCAUCAGACACCACAAGUACAUUUGAUCGCCAUAAACAAACACCCUUGCUGACACUGAAAUGUGGGGUGUGUCCUUAUUAACUAAACACGGGCUUGCUAAGUUUUCAGGAAAGACUAUUAAACCGAUUUUUGUUCAGACUACCACUGUGUACUGAUACAGGAUGGUAGGAUUACAUUAUGACAGCCAAUCACACGUCUUAUUUGGUAUUUGGGGGGAGUAAUACAUACAGAAGAAACACUCAGCCUAGCAUUACAGAUGCCGUCAACGAGCUUCGACAGUUUGAUUCCCACCUCUGUUGAUAAUUUUGUCCACGUACUCCUUUCUGAAAUCAUGACACAGUUCCGUAAGUAGGGGCGAGAAAGACCAGUGAGAAGUGCAAGGGAAAUAGGCACAUAAGAACAGAGAAUAAGUCUUAGACCUCACAAAAUUACCUAGCUGGGAGAUGGUCAUGGGGGCGGUUGUACGGCGUCCAGACAGGCUCACCCACGAAGAGCCGCAUUGCCUGUGGAACAUUAUGAGUAAGAAGAAAAGGAAUAUCACAUCUCCAUAUUAGACCGGGAUGUUGCUUAUGAAUAACUGAACAUGGAUAUGGAAAAGAAUUUUAUGAAUAUGUGAUCAAUAAAAAGGCGCCACUUGUAUUGAAUUUCACAAAGACAGUAUCUAGUUGUGCGGUGAGACCAGAGAUUAGUAGCACUGUUGUGGGCUCAAAGAAUUGAAUCUACCAAUAAUCCAUACAAGUAAGUUACACACAGAUUGACAGAAGAAUACGUAGUCCAGUCAUUUUAAUUCAUUCACAUGUUGUGGAGACCAACACUUAUGGCAGGAGCAAAGGAAGAAAGUAAGGAUACCUUGAUGUAGUUGUCACUGUCCAGCGUAAAGCGGUGAUACAUUCCCGCAGGCAAAACAAUCAUGCCCCCUUUCUUCACUGCUAUACGAAUCCACUGUUCGUUUUGGUCCCUCACAUCGAAGUAUCCUUGACAACAUAAGAAAAACAAAUAGGUAAAGUAUGUAGAAAGAAUGCCGCCAUGAGUAUUACUGGAAAUAAAGCAGUUUAAAACCGUUCUUGUCUUCAAUGCCCGAAAAAAUUAUAAAGAAGGCACCUACCACUGCCCUCAAGACAAUAACGUAUCUCUUCGUCAGUAUGCAAGUGUUCUUCAAAGAAAUUCUUCAGCUUGGCCUCGUAGUUUGGUAACUUCUCUGGACACACGUCGCAUAUGUCCUGCAAAAGGAAAAACAUAACAUGUUUGUCACACUUGAUUGAUGUACUACUUGCUUAGCAUUUGAGCUUGCCAAUCAAAAUGAAAAUACGGAACAUUAAGUAGCCAACAAGGAUCAAUGACAAACCACAUAAGAGUAUCCCCUGGCCUCGCGGAUUUUCUUGAGGUUCUCAUCUUUCUCCCAGUCAUCAGCAUUUAGGCGCCAGCUUAUUACUCCUAACUCUGGGCAUUUGAAAUGUGCACCGAUUUAGCAUCCAGCAGGUUUAUCAGAGCUAGUUGUACUAGUGUUCACGCACAGACAACAGUGAAUAAUUUCAGCAGCAAAUGCACAGACCUGAAAGCUUGUCAAGAGGAAUGAACUCUUUGGGCUCACGAUGAUGAGGGAGCCUCUGGUCCUCUUCACUGUCAUCCAUGUACCAUCCUUGGAUGACCUCCUCCUUGCCAUCCUAAAUUAGUAAUGGCCAUUCAAAACAUUCUGUAUUAUUACAACACAUGAAGUAAAAUACAGCAAAAUGGCAACAUGAAUUAACUGUAAACAUCUAACAUACUCCCUCCGAUCCUAAAUUUUUGUUGUGGUUUUAGAAUUAAGGAUUGGAGGAGUAGUUUACAUUUUCCUUCCAUCGGCACUCAUCUUUGUCAAAACUGUGUAUGGGCCAUAAAUUUGUACUCGUGCAAAUGCAAUUAUGCAAUUUUGGAGGGAAAUGUUAACACAGGGAGAUGGAGAUGAUUUGGCAUGUGUUUGUUUAGGUUAACGUUCUUAAAAACAUGGGAGUUGUAUCAGACUGCAUCAAGCAAGCCCAAAUGACAACAAGUUUGGAGGGGACUCCUACUUCUAUAAUUCUAUUAUCACAAAGGAAAUGGAGUAUAUGAGAGCAAACCGUUCUCCAACGUAGAUGUAUUUUUUUUACAGCGAACUACUGUAGAUGUUUAUUCGAUGCCAUGAAAAAGUACAGACUAAAAGCAUUAAAUCUACACUAAUCUAGUCUAAAGAUUCACAUGUAUGUCCCCACCCUAAAAUCGUCAUAACUAGAGCAGACAGCGGCCGGCCAGCCAUCUCAGCUUUAAAGGGAGGAAAUCCCCAAUCCAAACUUCCUAUCCUCCAAUUCACACAGGCUUCAAUCGCGUAUUCCUACCCAACCCUAGCUUCAAUCCAGUCCCAAUCCAAUCCUCCUGCCGGGGCAAUCAAAAUCACCAAGGAAACCGGCGAAUCGUUACCACGAGCAACGAAUAGCAUCUUUCCUGACGCCCUAAUCCGUUGCAUCUUAGAGCAGGAACAAGGGAAGGAAGUAGGAUUAGGAAGGAGUGGAGCCUGUACUGUACCUGGAACUCGGUCUCCAUAUCAGCAGCCUCGUGCGGUGAUAUCUUCCCCCUCUGUUCUCGGAAACCCUCGCGGAAACGCCACUGCAAGCAAAACACAGGGAGGCCGGUUGGGGUUCUGAUAUUCCUGCAAACCCCCCUUGACGACUGCUUUGGGUUAACGCGAACAGAGGUGUGCUGAUAGCCUGAUACGGUCCCUAAUCUCUGUUUGAUUUAGACAUAUGUCCCUCGAUCUUCUAAUAGGGACCGGGUCAAGAUUGCAAUUCUCGUGUACCAAGGGACCAGGCGUGAAAUUUACCGGUCAUUGGCUCAUUGCUGCUGCCUGCACCAAACAUGAUGCCAUGGAAAUACGGUGACCGUCAGCUUAAUUGGCAGCAUGCGUGGGAGCCAUGCUUCGUGCCUCGUGCUCACAUCUCGUGGAGUGAGUGAACGGCUCAUUUCUUAUUCUCCCGUGUCCCCUUUUGUAGUUCCUUUUUUCGAUCCCAACAGCCGAAAAUUUUGUCUCACAAUUUUUUCGAGCGAACAAUUGUUGUUUGUUUCACAUGAAUCAUGGUGUUAGCGUGGGUGUGGCCAUGAGAUUAGAAACUGAAAUCCCAGUUCAGUUUAGGUACAUUAUGGUUUGUUUGUUUUUCUAAGAACAGUUUAGGGUUUUUUUUUAGUUUAGAACAGUUUAGGUACAUUAUGGUUAAUGCUCUUUCAGUUUUUCUUCUUCUAUACUCGGGCUGUAGGCGGGCUUUAUUACGGAAAGGCCUCUUUUCCAUCUCUGAUGGGCCUUGACAUCUUUGGGCCCAAAUGUCUGUCUGGGCCGAAAAAUACACAAUGAAAUCUCUGCAAUUAGAAUCCCUAUCCCUUGCGUAUCUCUAAAAAGAUCCCUGAGAAAAUCUAAAAUGUAAUAGAGAGAGGGAAGCAGCUCAAAAAAGAAAAAUAAAGAGUGAAAGAAAAGGUUGUACCACUCCUUUAGGCAGCUAGCUUGCAGCACUGAACUGAACGCAGCAAGUAAAGCCAGGCCAUACUCGUACUCGCCUACAUCGAUCGCGGCCACACACACAAAGCACUCCGUUGCCCGCCCGCCCGCCCGGCAUCUUUCCCACAUAUAUUCACAGCAGAAAACUUUUUGGUGAAAAACUGAAAAAGGCGAGGUGAGCUUGCACGAGGACGGCAAAAGAGCGAGACGUCGCACGCAGGCCAGCCAGCCCACCCUCGCAAUAAACAUCCACUCCCUCGCCGAUCCUGAAGUCCUGACGCCAGCCAGACCACUGUGCGCAUGUCUCGGUGGUCUCCAGACGCCAGGCACAAUAACGCGUACGUGCACGCGCGUGUUCGUCCGGGCUUUUCCACGCAUCACCCACUGCGACUUCCCCAUGCUCUGCUUUUUACCUUAUUAUUGUACGUCCUUGCUGCGACUUCCCAAUCAACAAGUACGGCGUCGGCGUAGCUGUGGCUAGGGCAGGCUUUGGGGUUGCUUCUUCACGUGAAACGGCGUUCCCAUCAUUUUUCCCAUCUCCAUGGGAGGACUAGCAGUUUCCUGCAGCUGAAUUAAUGCACGGGAGCUAUCUAUAUCUGUAAGUAGGCGUGAUUUGUCCCUUUCUAUUUGUAUGCGUUACUGUUUCGGUUAGCUACAUGCUAGUGGUAUGCUCGAAACACACUGCGUGUUGCAGCUGCAGAAACGAUCAAUUGGGCCGCACAGACCGGUGCAUUUCAUUGAGGACCGAGCUAGCUACAGAGUACACAUGUGUUCAGUUUCGUGAACAUUCUUGGUUAGAUGAGAAAUACUUUUCCCUCGAGUAACCAUGCAAGGGGUAAUAUAAGCCGCUGAUUAAUUAUUCACAGAUGUAGAUUCAUCGAUCGAUCGAAAGGGCCUGAUUCAGUGUCAUGUUAAUGCAUGUGAAGAAUGCAUCACGCAUGCACACCUGCAGUAUAUAGUAGUCCUGGCAAGUUACUUAACUGCUGUAAUUAACUCUGCGUGUCGAUACAUAUACCGACAGCCAUGAACUAAGCUACUCCGUAGCCAUGAAUGAUAUAUACCGACUGCUCUUAAGCGGUCUGUCUGCCGGAGUGGUAGUAGAAGGGGCAGGAGAAGGCAAGCCAAAACAGUUGCACUCUCAGCUUGUCAGUCUCAUAAUGGGAGAUUAAAGAUACUGGAUCAGGGUGGUGAGCGUCCGUCAGUUUUGACAAUAGAAUGGUACGAAUGGCACAGACAUUUGGAGACAUGAAGGAUAAAAGUUAAACUUGUAUGAAGUAAAAAAAAAUUAGUAAUGUAAAUGUGUUAUCCAAGUUAUAUGAAUAGUGCAUGCACACAAUUGGAUCAGGCCAAAACUGAAAGUCAACAAUUCCAUGAUGCUACUGCAGCUACAUGAGCCUUCAUGAAAAGAACAAAUAAAUCAUCGGAAUUAUGUUAGUGCCUGUCCAGAUCAAAAUAUUUCCCAUGCUUAUGUAUGUCGAAGAGAGCAACGAGUGCAUAAUCACCAUGAGAUUCUUCCUCUUUUUUCUACAAAAGAUGAAAUAUGAUGGAUAUGCAUAAGAUAAGAUCACCGAGAGGCGCGCCAUGAUGAUCUAGUAUGACCUUAGGAAGAACAGCACACACACGACACUCGAGUAACAUGGCCCAUUCAUACAUUCCAGUCAUGCUAAUGGCCAUUAGCUUGUUGCUGAUCCCGUUCAAGGCCGUUUCAUAUCCUGCUCUGAGCAACAACACUGACCUUGCCGCACUGUUGGCUUUCAGAUCAGAGCUAUCCGAUCCUCUGGCAAUCCUUACAAAUAACUGGACAAGUGGUGCAUCCUUCUGCCACUGGAUCGGUGUGUCGUGCAGCCGCCGCCGCCAGCGUGUCACUGCUUUGGAGCUGCCGGACAUGGCCCUCCAAGGAGAGCUCAGCCCUCACCUCGGUAACCUCUCUUUCCUCCAGGUCCUCAACCUCACAAACACACAGCUCAUUGGCUCCAUCCCAGCUGAUCUUGGAAGGUUAGCUCGUCUAGGAUAUCUUGAUCUUGGCUACAAUAGUUUAUCAGAUCCCAUCCCGUCCACUAUACGGAACCUCACGAGGCUCCAAUUUCUGUUCAAUUUCAACCAGCUCUCUGGGAAUAUCCCAAAUAUUUUUCAGCGGACGAAUACCAAAUUUUUCAUUUGAUGCUCAUCCAUAACAACAGUCUAUCUCGACCAAUACCAGAUGGUAUCGGCUCCUUGUUCAUACUUCAAGUUCUUCAGUUGAGACAUAACAUGCUCUCCGGUCCAGUACCUCCUACCAUCUUCAACAUGUCUAGUCUUGAGGACAUGCGUCUGGGGCACAACAAUCUAAUAGGUCCUAUACCUAGCAAUAGAAGUUUUAGUCUCCCUGCGUUGCAAAUAUUUGAUAUCAUCAAGAACAAAUUCACGGGCCAAAUUUCAUUGGGCCUUGCAGCAUGCAAGCACGUUCAGGUACUUAAUAUUGCGGGAAACCUCUUUGUGGAUGUCGUGCCGACAUGGCUGGCUCAGCUAACACGUCUCACGGGAAUAUCUAUGGGUGGCCAAGACAUCUUCGGUCCAAUCCCCUCUGUGCUCAGCAAUCUCACCAUGCUCAACGUGCUUGACAUCUCACGCUCCAACCUAAGCGGAGAUAUUCCGGUGGAACUUGGAAAACUGAGACAACUCACUGUUCUUAAAUUUUCGGAUAAUCAACUAACAGGUUCCUUCCCUGAUUUUCUAGGAAAUUUUUCGGAAAUAUCUUACUUAGAUUUGCGUUCUAAUCAGCUUAGUGGAAGAGUACCAUCACUUGGAAACAAUAGACACCUUUGGCGUCUUGAUAUUCGAGAAAAUUAUCUCCAAGGGGAUCUUAGUUUCUUGGCCAGCCUUUGCAAUUGUCGGCAACUCCAAAUGAUUGGCAUAUCCAAUAAUCCGUUCACUGGGAGUCUCCCCAGCUAUGUUGGCAACCUCUCUACUCAUCUCUUAGAAUUUGAAGGAUACAACAUCCAGUUGGCUGGAGGGCUUCCAGGCACACCGUCAAAUCUAAGUGACCUUCGUUUGUUAAACUUCGGAUACAACCAACUAACCAAGGAAAUCCCAGAAUCCAUCUCAAAGUUGGAGAAUCUCCAGGCACUUGGACUCAAUGUAAAUAGCAUGACUGGCUCAAUACCGGUACAAUUUGGUAUGCUAAGGAGUAUUGUAGUCUUGCUCCUCGAUAACAAUAGAUUCUCUGGCUCCAUACCAGAUGGCAUUGGGAACCUCACCAUGUUAGAGUUUGUUUCGCUAUCUUAUAACCAUCUAUCUUCGACCAUACCAUCAAGCUUGUUUUAUCAUAGUAGACUUAUUCAACUGCAUCUGUCCCAUAACUCCCUAAUCGGUACAUUACCUUCUGAUCUUAGACAUGUGCAAAGUAUGGAUCAAAUGGAUCUAAUAAUAUACUCAGGAGCAAUAAAGGUCCCGCAUAUGUUCUCAUUGACCGAUUGAUUGUAGAAAUCACAGUGGUAACAUUAGGAACUGUCAAAGCCGAUAAAGAUCUGCUGAACUCCAGAAGAUAGGCAAAAUGCCGAAUCACCUGCAAAUAUAUAACAUAAACAAUAUGAUGCUGCUAGAGAUAUAGAAAGAGCAUUUGGAUCACCUGCAAAUAUAUCAAGAUACACAAUAUGCUGCUGCUAGAGAUAUAAAGAAUUCACGGGACUCCAGAAGAUAGGCAAAAUGCUGAAUUACCUGUUGCACAGUGUUUUUUGAAAAUUUCACACUGUACACCACAAGUAUUCUACUUUCUACACUCACUGCAUCCACAGCAUACAUCACAAUAAAAAUUCACAAUGCAGCCAGGGGUACAAAGACUGCAUUUACAUGGACUUUUCUGCCCUCAUCACCUACCCUCUGUGGAUCUCAUUCCGGCGGCGGUUGAAGGUGAGGGCAGCUGCGGCAAAGCUGGGGGAUGCGGCGGCGGAGCUUGGGGUUGCAGCGCUGGGUGGUGCAGGAGAUGGGGCUGCGACGCAGGGUGGUCGCGGAGCUUGGGGUAGUUCGACGGCGGCACAAGGGUGGCGGACGAGAUGGGGAUGCAGUGCAUGGUCACGGAGGUGGGCGAUGCGACGGCGGCGAGGGCGGAGGUGAUGGGGUUGUGGCGCAGGGCGGCAAGAGAUGAGCUGCGACGGUGGCGCGUCGCGGCAGACGAGAUGGUGCUGCGUCGCAGGGUGGCGGAGAUGGGUUGCGGCGGCGGAGAUGGGGGCUCUGGCGGCGGCGCAGGACGGCCGAACCUAGCUCUUCCUAGGCGGCGAGUGGCAGGUUGGGACUUGGGAUGGGAGAGGAGGCAGGGCAGCCCGAACGGGGAGUCGGGACUCGGGAGGAGAAGCGUCGACCGAGACGAGGAGACGAGGCAGCCCAAGACCGAGACGCAUCACGCACGGGAGGAGCAGUAUGGCCUUAUGGGCCGCAAAAUCAGCCCAAUUAACCAGAAGACGUGGAUUUUUCUCACGGAGCAGCGGCCCGUAGGACAAUUGGCCCAGGCGGGAUGCACAGAAAGAUCUAACGGUCACAAAUGCUCAGAAGUCGAGAUCGUACGGUCGGAAACGCUGAUGGCGUGAGAAACCUCCCAAGAUGCCCAGUUUUACUGUCCUAAAAAAUACGACUUCCCAACCAUGUUAAUGUCGAAACAUGGAAUUGCGCAGGUUCCGCGCACCUAUAGUAGUCCUUGCAAUUACUUAACUCUGCGUGUCGAACUGUCGAUGCAUUUACCGACAGCCUGAUCAGGAACUAGCUAGCUGGCCAUGAACAAUGAAUUCCCAGCUGCUGUUCAUUACGAGCGCCCCUGCCUGAGCGCUGCCGUGCGCCGCCGGACGAUACGUGCGUACGUGCUCGAUCGUGCACCCCAGCACACGUACAGACGUACUCGAUCCUACUCAUCUUCUUGUGGUCCAAAAAGGCGUGGAAGAUCAGGAAGAAGAGGAAGAAGCUAGCUUUCCGGCCCUCAGGCAAAAUUAAAGGGAGAAAGCUAGCGACUCCAGUCAUGCAGUGGCACCAUGGAGUUAGUAGUUGCAUCGUCCAAGAGGGAUUCGGAGGCACGCAUUUAAUUCGGGCCAUCCUCCGGUCCGUGCUGGACUGGCCUCAAGCUAGCCCGACACGCACCAACAGACACGUACCGCAGCUGUAGCGACGGCGCCACACACACACAGCGCCGUAGCUGGAUGGUGCUAGCUAGCUGUACAGCACGUACGUGCGUCGAGUACAUGCAUAUCGGCCGGCCAUUUCGAAUGCUCGGAAACAGUGUUGGAUCUAGACCGAUCGACUUAUAAGGGGCCGUUCGAUGGAGAGAGAUACGCUGGACGCAGUGCCGUGUCUACGUUAAUUCUGCGCACGCACGCACGCAUUUGCACACCUAGCUACUGCUCCUGAUUGAACAAGUCCGAGCUAGCCGCGUGCAUGCAUGUACAGGGUACACGUACUAACGGUUGGUACGUGUACGUGCGUGCGUGUUGCCGACCGGGCAAAACGUUGUGUCACGUCCCAGAUCGAUCGAUCUCCAACCGUGCAUGCAUGCACUGUUCCUGUUUAUCGAUCGAUCAUUUUGCCGUAUAGGCGGAGAGAGCGGAGUUGAUGCUUUGCCCUGAAAUAGGUUUUCCACUGUGUGACAAAACCUAGGCUGGCUAGCUAGCUGUGCCGUGCGCGCGGGCCGGCCUGGGCACUGUGGCUGAGUUGAUGCAUGCAAACCGUUUACGUCGACACCCAACUCGAUCGAUCGCGGCCCUGUCGCAAUAUUUGUUCUGUGUUGUGCGGACAAAAAUCCAUGUAAAUCAGCUCAUUUUGCUUUUACACCCAAGACACUAGGAGUAGUACAUUUUACAUAUGUUUCCGUAUGCGGAAAAAAGGAUUUGGAUGGACAGGCCGGGUGGCACGACCCACUCGACGGCAUUCCAAAAGGAGAGCUAGCUAGCCUGCAACGCGAUGGAUCGAUUUUCGUCGUACCAUACACACGUACACACGGUACACCAUAUACGAACGAGGCAGCCAAGAGGAGGAAUACGAACGAGACGGUCGUACACUCUCACCGUCUCACGCACGUACGCGGUACUUCUGUGCGAAAACGAGAGGCAGCAGUCACGCUGGGUUCGUGUUUUGUCGGUUCGUGACGGGGCGCAGGACCAGAGGGUAGCAGACCCCCUUUUUCUUUCUUUCACCCCCUCGUGCGCCCCAUGCCGAAGUGACGGAAAUGACCCCGGACGGGCUUAUCGUCGGCCCACGUGUCGGGGGCCGGACGGACGGGCUUCUCGCGUCCCUUGGCUGGGGCCUGGGGGUUAUGGGCUCCACGGCGCGCAGGGAAAGGCGUGGCGGGCCAGCCACGCGACCGCACGUUCGGCCUCCAGUGCGGCCCACACGCUCGAUCGGAUCGGCCAAGCCCGACCCGGGGGUCUCACUCUCACGUGAAGCACCACCACGUGGACUUGGUCAACGGGGCCGGCAGGGGAGCCCGGAAGCCAAUGGUAAGAUAACACGUGGCGGGCCAACAUGCAUGCCGGGUGGGACCAAGACGAGAAGAGAUAGUUGGAAGGAGCCCACCGCCGUGCAUUAACGUUUGACCGGUCCUUGCCCUUGUGGGUGCACCCUUUUUUUUCUUCCUUUCGGCUGCAGGCCUGCAUCAGGACGGUGAUGGAUGGACUCGGAGAAAACAGUGCACGCUGAGCCUCGGACACAGUUACUUCCAUACUUGUCUCACGCAGAUGACCGUCCAAACUGAGAAGCCCAACCACGUCCACUAAUAAAUAAACUCGUGCGCUUAGCUUACACACGAGAGUCUCCGGACGCUGCGUGAUUGCCUAACUGCCACACUUGACUUGGUGGUGUACGUAACGGGAACCUACACAGUCGGCUUUCCUCAGUGCCCAAGUAAACAUCUGACAAGGUUAAAGGAUAGUUAUGGGCUUAUGGCACAGCAAGCGGGUCUGGACCUCUUUCUGCUCGUCAGGAAACAAUCGAAGGGAAAAGGGUGGUCCAAGAAACGACAGACCCAGGACAGGGGCCCCGGACUGCACAGAAGAGGUCCCGUGUGGGUUUGCACGUGUGACAGAGUCACAGAGAGGACGGCCUGGCCGGCGCGUAAUUUCUUCUUCUUUUUUCCAGGAUAUAACAUUAUACUGUAGAUCAGAGUCAGCAAACCCCUUUGGCUUGGUCUUUUGCCUUUCCUCUCUCGCGGCCGGCCGGCGCGGAUAUCGAUCGAUCACUCUUUUCCUGGUACCAUCGCACUGCCGCUGCACCACUGCUAGUCCUGACCACCCUGUGCGUGCUUUGCAGUGGACGGGUCGACGGUUUUUCACUGCUAGAUCCACACACGCGCAGGACAACCCGCACGGAAAUACCUACGGGAUGGGAUGCGAGCUCGCCUGCUCGGGCAUGCGGGUGACAAUAGCGAUGCCGUCAUCCGCGCGUGCGUCGUGACGAUUUCUGGCAGUGGAUUCCGAAUGAGAAAGGGCCUCUCUGGAUAAAAAUCUACAGUAGUCGCCCGCGUCGGAGUCAGUGAAAAAGGAGAGUAACAAUACGACGGCAGAAGUGACAUUCAUGCACUAAUUUGGUUUCAUGUGCUAGCUAGCUGCCAGGCCAAUUAAUGGAGUCCUUGGAAUCGCAAGUUUGAAACGUUGCGUUUCAACCAAUCAGGGAACGCGGAAAGCCUUUUGACCUAGGAGUGCAUUUUUUAACCCUUUUUCAAUUGAUGUUGUUUUCUCUACGGACUCGUGAAGGUCUUAUGUAGGCAUACUACAUGUAUGGUCCCCAAAGAGAGACCAACAAGAUCCUGCAAUUAAGGAGUUCCAUCGCACGGAAAAAUAGCACACGUACCUAUGCGCAUAGGAUGCUCUAAACUCGUGGAAAUGAAAAGCAUGGAGCAACCGACACACAAACAAAACAUCAUUGUCUAUCUACUAUCAGAACCUGAACGGUGGCCGCUCGUACUACCUUGCAUGUAUUGUACGUGCCAUAGAUACGGCUACGUCUACCACUGAGACUCGUCCAAACUCUCGCUCUCACGGCCGUCUCUGCCGAGCCGCUGCGGUCGAUAAACCUGGAUCGAUCAGAUCAGAUCAGAUCAGUCGACGGCGGAUCCGAUCGGACGCUUCUCGUCGCAGAGCGCGUUUCUCGUCCAUCGAUCUCUCCCGGGCCCUGCAAGGUAGGGUCCACGCACGUACGCAGUUGCCCAAUGCAUCUGCAUGCACGCACCCACGCACACUGCAUGGUGGGUUCCAUGAGCAGUCUGACAGGACGUCGUAGGAGCACUGUUCCCAAUCAAAUCCUAGGAGGCGUACGUCCAGGGCCGUCCCUGGCAUGCAAAAGCAGCCGGAGACCGUUCCAGAUCCAGCUAGCUGCCGUGCCUCUCGCGCGCGAUCUUCAUGCUAAUGCCGGCAGCACGAGGAACAAGAGGCCGGAGAAAGGAAUGCAUUAUGAAAUAUGAAUAGAGAGCGUGGCAUGGUCGCUUUGAUGAUCCCACAAAACAUGAGUGUUAUAUAUGAAAUAUGAAUAGAGAGCGUGGCAUGGUCGCUUUGGAAGACGUUUGGGUUCUAAUUUUGAGUCUAUUAUCAACAUUGUCUGUGCUGCAAUUCUGUAGAGCAUUUGGACUUUUCGCAAUAACAGGAUUUUUGAUAACCAACUUUGGAUUUCCUCUAAACAGAUUUGGUGGUUAAUCCUGCGGUCACUCUGGAAAUGGUCGCUGCUGUUCAGAGAUUAUGUGCUCGACAGAAUGGACUCCUUCUGUCAAGAGGUGUCUCGUAUACUGGGGAUGCCUCUGCUACUGCCUUGGAUUUAAGUGUGCCUCUCUGACUCCUCCCCAACUGUUUAUAUGUUACCAGGUAAUCUUCCUCCGCCGACGGGCACACCUGAGAUAAAGCUCGUGGUAACGUCGGGCAGCCCGGUUUCAGUCCUUGAACAAGGCUUGACUCCCAAGGCUGGACUUCCGCAGAGGGAGGUGAUCAGGUCCUGCCAAUUCUAUACUCUGGCUGACGCUGCACCAAUCAUGUUUAGCGUUCCGCAAAAUCUGUAGUUCGCUGCUGUGUGCUCAGCUUGUAACCCCCUCCCCAUGUUCUCUUUUUCAGACUUCUUUAUUAUCUUGUUGUUGAAGAUGUUUGUUACGGACCUGGUUUCUUAAAUCUAUGGAGGCCUCCUGUUGAUUAAAAAAAAAUCUAAGCCGCUCCAAAAGAGGGUGCAGUAGUAGCUAGGUAGCUCCCAAGGCAUGCAUGCAUGUGCUAGCUGUUUGAUCCAUCCAGCUGCAUUGCGUGCGGGUCGGGUCGCUUGCUUUUGAUCAUUUUGAUGUGACCGCGCGCGGCCGGCCGGAUGGGAAUGGUCAAUGGUCGAUCGAAUCCAAUCCAAUCCAGCAUUGCCGCCCGGCCGGAACGACCGAUUAAUUCACUGCAUGCGGUAGCUAUUUACGGGGGAAUAAUGUGGGAUUACCACGCACAUGGCACGCCCUUUGCUAGCUGGGGAAUCAAGCUCCGACAAAGCUAAUUUGAGGGUGGAUGCAUGCAUGAUGUGGCUGUUGUGAGACGUUAACUCUCUCUCGAGGUUUUACUAGCUAGUCGGCCAUGUCGAUGCAUGCCUUUUGCUUUUGAUUGACGUGAUAGCUUAGGCUAGCUAGCUUUAUUUCGGAUUCCUUUAUGACCAGCUUACUGUGUGCAUGGCAUGCACACGAUCAUCACGCGCCUCGCACACCUUCUUUUGUCUCACCCUUUUCCGUUCACAUGCAUGCAACGUACCCCGCGGCAGCGGGAAGCAACGGUGCUCUGCCUGUUUGGGUUCAAGUUUUCUCUUUUUGAGAGAGCAUAUAGAUCCAGCGAGCUCAGUUCCGAUGUACACUUUAUCUGCCUGUGGCCGUAUGAACCAGUCGAUGUACUUUAUUUUCGAAAUAAAAAAUCUAGUUACGGGCUGAUUACUGCCACGCCGCGACUGGCCGGAAAACUGGGUUCUCUUCACUGCUAGCUACGACGUACGUUCGUAAUCGUGUCUCGUUCGUCAGUACUUUCUCCGUUUGAAACGUUUGAAAAAAAUUGACACGGCUUUGAACUAAAAGAGCUAGUUCAAUAAUCUUUAUGAGACAGAGAGAGUACUUUUUUUUCCAACUUUACGAAUUGACCGACUGGGGUUCAAUCAGACAUUUGCCAACCGAAGAUGUACUUGCGCGGCACUAAUCGCUUGAAAUUUUUCGGUCCAAAUUAAAGAAAGAUACUGUCUGCUGCUGCAAGACCGUGCAGAACCGGAGUUAAGAUAGGAGGAAUCACGCUCGUGUCAGUGCUGUAACGUGUAACGGACUGGAUUUGGUCUUGCGGAACAGACUAACGGCCGGUUCAGAGGAGGAACUCGCCUCGCUUUGUUCUUUCUUGCAGGAUUUCGCGUCAAAUGAUGUCGACGACUCGAGGCUGCUGCUCUCUGAGCAACCUUUCUCCACGCGCGGAGCAUACCUAAUGCUCUCGUCGGGGGAGUCGGACCCAUCGGCUGAUGCGAUUUGGAAGUGCCAUGUGCCUCUCAAGAUCAAAAUCUUUGCCUGGCUGUUUCACCAGGAUCGCCUGAACACAAGGAGGAACUUAUGCCAUAAGACGAUCACACUACAACAAAACAUGCCUGUAGAGACGCUGAAUUAGCAGGCUAAAGACAUGAUAUUUCAUCUCUAGUGGAUUAUAGAGUCGCUUUCACAAAGCGUCUUCGGAGCGUCUCCUCUGGGACCGUGUCAAGUUACGUAGAGACACUAGCUAAGCGUGACUACAGGAUAUGAGACGUUUCAUAGAGACGUUCAAAUUCGUGUCUAUACAUGUAAGGACGUUUUAUUUGACACGUUUCAAUUACGUCUUUAUCAACAUUUUGACACGCUCAAUUUGCGUGACAACAAAGAUAGAGACGUUUUUACAAAUUUGGCCUAGCCCAUCCUAUGAGUCAGUAUUGGAUUGGUUUGGGCUGUAGUCGGGCCCACCUUUCUGUCGGCCCAUCAUAAUUGAAAACUCAUGGCACAUGGCAAGCCCAUUUCUGUAAAAAUAUAUUUGGGUAGCCUAUUUUAAAUUUCGAAUUUUCUAAGAAAAUGAUGUUUUUCUUAAAUUUGACAGACAAUCACACAAUCAGUUGUACAAGGACACACAAUCAGUUCUGCCGCUGCCUCACCGUUGCUGGCCUGCUGUUGCAAUCACUGUGCUCUGGAAAAUCUGGGAUGCCAGAAACAGCGUGAUCUUCCGGCUACCGCCUCAUGUAAUUGUCAGGAACAUUCUCGCUGACUUUACUUUAUGGUCCCAUCGACUCAGGAAAGUCGACCUUCAGGUAGCGGACACUGCGUGACGUGACUACCUCUCUUCUCGGGUUUUGGCCCAUGUAUUCAGGUGGGGAUUGGUAGGCUACACCAUCGAUUGCGGCCAUUCCCCUACGAGCAGACGAGAAGUGACGAGCAUUUUUAGGCUGACAAAACAUGAAAAGGUACAUGCUUUACGCACCGUGUGCAUGAGAACUGAGAAAACUAAUUAAGCGUGCCACAACUGUUAAAACUCGAAGUGGCCGAUCGAAUGGUGGAUCGAUCCAUCAGCCCAUAUCUUGUAGGAGCUAGCUAGCCACUGACAAGGAGUAGCAGCUAGUACUCAACAUCAGCUAGCUAGAGGUGCCUAAAACUCGAGAUGACUUGAGGGGAUCCAAGGCAACAUGGUGACGUGAAAGCAUGAUGGAAAUGCAGUGUGUGGUUUUGGAAAAUGACUAGCAAGCAAUGAAGCAAACAUGUGCGCGGUGCGCCCGAGAGUGAAGAGAAGACGGGCUGGCAAGGCAUAUGCAGAAGUUGUCUUUGACGGCAGCACGCGCGGCACACCGGUCUGAUCGACGCAGACGUUUCGUUUGGAUUUGGAUCAAUGCAUGACGCGGUCGAAGUUGACCUCUACUCGAUCAAUGUACAUACGUAGAACGGAAACUACCCAUGCAUGCCGUACGUAUAUAUGAACUAUUUCUUCCUGAUUUUUACCACGUAGGACAACAUCAACAGUGGGCCUGCUUGGAUGGCCGUUUUGGGGCUCAUAACCGGGGUAAUUUACGGAGGCUGAAAAAUUUCCGACGACAGCCUGAAACACCGAUUGGAACGUCGUUUUCGUUUUCCUUUUCGUUCGGUUUAGAGGCUUUACACCCGUAAACAAUUACGGAUCUGAGGAGGUCUGGAUAGAAAAACGAGGAAGAGGACUAGCGGCGCACGCCGCAGGGAGAAAGGAAGAAACGAGAUCCGGCGACGCGUGGGUCGGCGAUUGGAGUGGUGUCCGGCGGCGGCGAGGUGGCGGCGCCUGAAGCGGGUUUUGGCGGCAUGCCGGGUCGUUGUCUGGAGCAGUUUCUGAUGGCGCGAGGAGGCGACGGUUGGAGCGUGUCCGGCGGUGCAUGGCGGCGGCGCGUGCGGUUUUAGCUUCCGGCAACACCCUCUCCCACUAGCUCCCUCCUCUACCUCACCGCAACCUCCCCGGCUCCCACUUGUAAGGCUAUACCUCACCUCGAUCACCAUCGUCUUCACCGUCGAUCGGUGGCGGCAUGGACCAAAGGUUCUGCUAGCAUUGCAGCAGAGUAUUUUUUUUUCUCGAACACGCCGAGCGGCGUGUCAUUUCCAUUAAGAAGAAAGCGCAAGAAGAGCGAGUACAAGCGGCAACAAAAGGAACCUCAAAGGGCGCCCAAAAAAGAAAAACGCAAAUGAAAACAAGAAGAAGAAAAAGGUCGCCCAUGGAGGGGGAGGCCUAGCUGCCUAAGAGCGCGCGCACCUACAGCCCGCCACAAAUCCACCUCCACAAAGAUGUCCUCGACCAAGCUAGAGGCAACCGGCGUGGAUCCCUCGAAGAUGCAGCAUUCUGGAGCUUCCAAAGACGCCAGAGAGAGAGGUUGAUGAGGGAGCGAAUGGCCUUCACCUUGUCCGGCGCCCGACGUGCUCCUGCCGACAGCCAGCCCACAAGGUCCUCGGAGGGACGGGGGAGGCAAGGAAGGGCCCCGGCCCUAUCCAGGAUCGCAUGCAGCACCGUCUUCGAGAAAGCACAGCCCACAAGGAGAUGAGCUAUGGUCUCGGGCUCCUGGUCGCAAAGAGGGUAGCGCGCGUUGCAGGGGAGACUGCGGCGUUCCAGACGGUCCGCCUUCUAGCAAUGGUUGGUGCACGCAAGCCAAACCCAAAUCCGACACUUCAACAGUGUCCAACAACGCCAGAUCUGAGCCCAACAAGGGGAAGUCGGGCGUUCCUCGAAGAAGUGAAGGAACGCCGAUUUGGAGGAAUAGACACCCGAGGGCGACCAACGCCAGCGGAACACAUCGUCCCUGUCCGGAGCAAGCUCCACGGAGGCAAGCGUGUCCGCUAGCCGAAGAAACUCAACCAUGCCCUGAGCAUUGAGAGGGCCCGAAAUAUCAUGAAUCCAAGCCUCCUCAAAAAGGGCGUACACAACACAUCGUGUACGGGUGAUCCUUCGACCAACGGCGGCAAAAACGACCGGGGCAACUACUUCGAUCGACUUCCGAUCAAUCCAGUUGUCAGACCAGAAGAGGGUAGAGCGACCGUUCCCCACCACCGAACAGCAAGCCUCAUGAAAGAGGGCGAGGACAAGGGGGCUGAAGCGGAUACGAAAGGAAGCCCAAGGCAUAUCGACCUCAGCCCGCUGCAACCAAGGCCAACGAAGCUGGAGGGCGGUGCUCAACAAGUUGGCGUCACGAACCCCAAGACCUCCCAAACGAAUGGGAGGCAGACCUUGGCCCAGGCCACCGCACAAUGACCACGUUGAGCAUCGGUCCGACCUUUCUAGAAAAAACUCCGUUGCUUCUUAUUAAUGGCAUCACCCAACCACUUCGAGAGCAAGGAGAGUGUGGACCAGAAUGGCCGAGAGAACCGAUUUGACGAGAGUCAACUGGCCACCCCAGGACAGCAUCCCGGCACGCCAGCUAGCAAGCUUGCGGUCUAGCUUGUCAAGAAUAGGCUGGAAAUCCUGACGACAGGGCCUGGAGAUGGAGAGGGGGGCACCCAAGUAGGGGAUGGGAAACUCCUGAACCGGACAAGCCAGGUAAUGGAGAACGACCUGAAUCUCCUCAGGAGAGCAGCAGAUGGGAGUGGCCGAGCUCUUCAGGAUAUUCAUGCGCAGGCCCGAAGCAUCACCAAAGACCUCAAGCAAAUCAGGCAAGAUGGUGCACUCCGCCACCUCAGGCUGAUAAACACGACCACGCCAUCAGCGUAGAAGGAAGCCUGGCAACCCGGAGUCCCUCCUCUAAAAGGAGAAAGGAGCCGCUCCCGGGCGGCAGCGAGAAGAAGGCUGUUGAAGGUAUCCAUCACAAUGACGAAGAGCAUCAGGGAUAAGGGGUCCCCCUGGCGCAGGCCCCGACGAUGCACCACCUCAUGGCUAAGGUGACCAUUGAUAAUAAUCUGGGUGCUGGAAGUGGAAAGCAGCAAGCAGAUGAGAUCACACCACACACGACCAAAGCCACGAUGUCGGAGGAGAUCCAACAAAAAGGCCCAGGAGACAGAGUCAAACGCCCUAGCGAUGUCAAGCUUACAAAGCAUCGCUGGCUGCCUAGAAAUGUGCAACGACCUCGCCAUUUGCUUCACGAGCAUGAAAUUAUCGUGAAUGGCACGACCACGGAUAAAGGCACACUGGUUGGUGGAGAUCAGGGUCGGCAGGAGAGGCGCAAGCCGGAGCGAGAGCACCUUAGCGACCAACUUGGCGAUGCCGUGAACAAGGCUGAUAGGCCUAAAAUCCCGAACCUCCGAAGGCUAGUUCUUCUUGGGAACGAGAGUAAGGAGCGCACGGUUAAGGUCGUGGAAGCCGGCGUGACCCCUCCGUGGAGCCAACGAAAGAGCUCGACCACCUCGCCCUUGAUGACGGACCAACAAGACGAGAAGAAAAGUCCGGUAAAACCAUCCAGACUUGGGGCGCGAUCCCGAGGUAAAGCUCGAACGGCAGCCCAGAUUUCCUCUUCCGAAAAGGGUUCCUCCAAAACGCGUAAGUCCAAGCGCGGAAUCUGGAGGAAGUCGAAGUCCAGGGUCCGCAACCUCUCCUCCGGAAAGUCAAAAACCUCCUCAAAGAAGGAAGUAAUUGCCUCCUCGAUGCGAUCCUGGUCGAUCAGAUCCUGAUCCCCAUGGUGGAGCUGCGCAAUAAAGUUUCGUCUGCGACGAGCGCCCGCAUGGAAGUGGAAAAAGCUGGUGUUAGCGUCGCCAUCCCUCAACCAAGUGAUGCGGGCCCGGUGACGGGCAAUGGUCCGCUGCAGAGAGCACAAAGCCAAAUAUUUUAUCUUCAAGCUCUUGCGAAGCCGGGGAAAGUGGGCGACGCUCCUGAGAGACCUCAAGACGGAAAAUAAUCUCCACCGCGCAAUCAAUCUGAGGGCAGCAGAGUAUUACCCAAACAGUAUUUUCCAAGGGAAUGAUAUACGAUGGUUUUGUUGGUUACCAGUAUAAUGCCGGUGUAAAUUGAUAGAGGAGCAUAAAGUUACAUGAAUGCCAAGCGGGGCCUAAAAUUAUUUGUUUUUUUUUAGAAAACGAAAGGAUACAGAAGGCCAUGGCAAGUUGCUGCUCCUAGGCCUGAGGGGACUGGCCCAUGGGCCAGGGUACGAGUGGAUAGCGGUCGGGCGAUUGUCCAAGCCCAGCUCCGCCCUGCUAGGCCUAGGGCCGCUGUGGGUCCCGCGAGGCACACGCGCAGAGAGACCCCACCGACCGCGCCGGGCGCUGCCAGACUGCGAGCCGGAUUGCUGCCCCCGGCCGGCCGGCCAGCCGCGAGGGGGAGCGAAUUUGCACCCACCAGCAGAAACCAAACCAAAACCGAAGGCCGCCCUCACGCUCCAAAUAGCAAAGCCCCGAGCCACGGCGCCGGCAAAAGAAAGAACCCAUCCAGCCACUGAGCCACGCACCCCGGCACCCACCAACACAAAUUAACCCGAGUACCCGACCCCAUCGGAUCAUCCAUCCGUCUCGUCUCUUUAUUUCCUCUCCUUUUCUGCCCCGCCCGCCCGCACGCACGGUCCAAGGCUCCUCCGUGCGUGCGGAUUGACUCGCGCACCCUUACGCUCCCUUCCGCGUCACUCACUCACCAGUCAGUCCCCCCUCGUGCAGCGCCAGCGCCAGCAGCCAGCGGCAUUCAGCGCCUCGCUAGCUCCCUCCUCCUCCGUCUUCUACCUAGCUAGCCGCGGCGCCGCGCGCGCGCGGCCGUCCCGCCGGUGCGUUGAGAUACAUCCAUUGCCAGCCGAGCUCGCGCGCGCGGCAAGUCCAUGGGCCGGCCGAGCCGCCGCGGCCUCCUCGCCGCGGCGCUGCUCCUCCUCUUCGUCUUCUUCUCCGCCGCUGCCCUCGGUAAUAUACAUGCCUUCUCCUCCAUCUUCUGUUUCUUCUGCAUUAUAUACAAGGCCAGCUCUGACCGUCAUUGACUCAUGGUGUGUUGUGUGUGUCCUGCAGGCGCGAGCGCGGCGAGGACCGGCCGGAGGAGCCGCGUCGUUGGUGGCGGAGCGGUGGAGGAGGGGGAGAAGUACUGGUGGGACCCUGCGGCGGCGGCGGCGGCGGCGGGGGGGAGGCGGAGGGAGCUGGUGGGGCCGGGGUCGUCGCCGCCGACGUGCCGGAGCCGGUGCGGGGGGUGCCACCCGUGCCGGCCGGUGCACGUGGCCAUCCAGCCGGGAGUCAGCUUCCCGCUCGAGUACUACCCGGAGGCAUGGCGCUGCAAGUGCGGCGACAGGCUAUUCAUGCCCUGACUGCUCACACCCACGACCGUCUGCACUUGUGCACAUAUGUAAGGUGCAUGCUCCUUGGGCCGCUCCGCCAUUACUGGCUGCUUCGCUUCACUCACACGAGCUAGCUCGCUUAGCUACGGUCUACGGCGGCCGAGCAGCAAAAGGCAAGGGGUGAAGGGAGUCACGGCCUCACGGGUCGAGCAAACGCACGGCGACCAGGAAGCUACGAGCUAGAGAGAGCGGGGAGCAGAGCACCAGGAGAUUGAUGGAAACAAGACCAACCAUGGAUGACCUCUUCAAUGGGGUCGAUGUAUGUAAUAAUGUUGUAAGUAGCCGGUCCUGUCUCGUGUACAAAGAGCGAGCGAGGAAGAGAUGGAUCGAGAUGUUCAUGCGCGCGCGCUCUCUCUCUCUCUCUCCCUCUCUCUCUCUGCUGUUGGUUCUUUCUUUUCCACCUUCCGGUUCAGCGGAGCGAUUUUUCCCAGCUAAUUUUCGUCAAAUCUAUGAUGUGAUGUUUUUAACCGGAUUAGCUACGUAGUUUUCAUCAUUUCUCCUUGUUCGAUUCUGCUGUACUACAUCGCAUCUUCUCGCAGUGAAGGUCAUAAAAAAUUAGUAGUAACAAGGAAGAAACAUUUCUAUCUUGAGGCCUGAAUGUCUGGUACCUGGAUGUCAUUGUUCUUUGUGGAUUUAAUUCCCUAGUUCUUGCGCCCGUCUGCGUCCGUCCGUGCAUAUACAUACACCACCCAAAGAAACAAUUUCUUCAUUCCCCCCACCAUCAAAUAUCCGGAACAGUUUCCUUACUCCUUUCAAGCACACGCACACUCCAUGGCAGGGCAUGUGCCUCGCAGAGCCUCAGCUGCAUAUAGUAUGAGCGCGCGCAGAAAACCAUGGAAAGUAGCUCCAGCAACCCCCCAAACGAUCAGAUGGGAAACAGUAGUAGUAGCAGGGAAAGAGGGGGGAGAUGGAUCGUAGGGAGUGUAGAGCUACAGGUACAGAGAGUUGCACGCUUUGCGUUGCAGGAUGAGCUCCACUUUUUCAUUUCGCAGGGGCAAGAAACAAACCAAAAAGCCUGUCUGCGUGCGAAGACUGGUACGGAGAGUAGUAUACGGCGAAUCUCUCUCGCAGCAACAGUGACCUAAUAGGACUGGAGCUAAGCUAGGGGCGCUGGUUCUGAUGAGGUUUUUUCCUCUGGCAGUGUCACUAAUUUAACUUGCUGGCUAGCUGCUUUAGUCACGUCAAAUCAGCAUAAGUUCCCUAGAGAGGAGAAUAGGGCCUGAAUAUUUUGGACGCCAUGCCACACUAUGUCACGCCAUGUGUUUUAUAUACUAGUAGUAUUUGUUUGUUUAUCUAUCUUGCUCAUCAUUUGUUUGUGUUACUCCUAGCUAGGCUAGGCGUAUACGUACACGCAGGCCUGUGUCUCAAUCAUCUCCGAAUUAUAAUCUUUGGCAGCAGGAGUGCAGCGAGCUGUGGCGUUCUGUGCCGUUCAGGGCUUCAGGCACGCACGAUGAGGGGGCUCUGCAGAAAUGGUGGCUUUCAUUCAAUCCUUCCCAUCUCCUCCGAGCGUUUUGGUCAUUCCAUCCAUCCAUCCAUCCUCCUCGUUUCUCCGACUCCUGAAUUCGACGCGAACAUCCAGCAGCAGCUACUGGCCUCAGGUUUUAUUUGGAGUAUUUUCUUGGAGCUGUGAUGCGAAAUUUCAUCGGUGCACACUAACUCCUGUCAGUGAUGGAGACCGAGCCAUGUCCUUGAACAAUUUUUAGUGGCCUAUGAUGUCGGUUGGAGAUGGUACAUGCUUGAGUCCUAAAAGCAGUUCGAUUUGAUAGGAUUGCUGCUAAUAAACUCGACUCAGCUGUCGUCCAAAAGAUACGAAUCUCGAUGGCCAAACCCAGAACAGAUUAACAUCUGGGGCAUCUUUUCGUGUGUGGAAAUUGCUGAAUAAGUAUUGUUGAGAAGUAGGAAUGUUUGCGGAGCUCUUCACUAGUGUGAUCUUCCUGCUUCUCUAAAAACUCGAGAUUAUCUGAAGGUCUCCUUUAUCUGUGCCUGCAGUUUUUUCUCCUCGAGAACACAAAGAAUGCCCCACCUGCUUCCCCGGCGAAAGAUUAGCUUCAAGAAUAGUAACAGUGUUCUUGGGACUGCGGUUGCUUGUACUUGUAGCAAAGUAUCGUUUCCUACUGAAGGAGAAACAACCGACGCAGUGUAAACUGUAUAACGAGUAACAGAUCAAACGAAGCGGAGAGGAGCAAAAGUUUCGCCUGCAAAGAUUCGUCAGAUGGGCUGUGCGUGUAUAGGUGCGUGCAAUGCAAGCGAUCGAGCAAGUAGACUGUUUGCUGGGAGGCAGUAGCAAGCGAUUUCGGCGCCUCACAGUGCCCAAUCUGCAUGGCGCAUCAACGGAUUUUGCGUCGAUCAUGGAGUUGGAGUAUUGAUGGGCCUGAUGGCCAGCAAGUAGUAUCGUUGAUUUUAACUGUCAGCUCCUGUCACAUGUCUGUUGUGGAUCUAAUGCAAGUUACCACGGAAGUGAUGAUCUUGGGGUUUCUUUUUCUCUCUUUUUUUCGUUUCAUCAAUUUCAUUUUAGCUUCCGUCUCUCCUGUUAUCUUUCUUUACGGAAACAGGUGCCUCUGAUCCGUUGAUUUCCUUUUUGCCUUUUGUUGGAGAAGCAGGCUCAAAGCAGCCAGUGAUUCGAGACAUGUUUCUGAAGGGUUGCUCUGAGCUCAGAAGACGCUCAUCUCACAUGACCUUCAUUUUGCAGGUGAAUUUUCAGUCAGACAAACCAAUAUUUUCAUGUUCCGCUGAGCGUUACCUUUUAUUUUUAGAACACACCGACUGUUACCCGUAUAGUACGCGAAAACUAGCAUUGCAUUCAUCACUAAACUUACCCAAUAUUUACGUUCAUCAGUCAUCGCCACGUUUUUCUAGUGAGUAAAUUACAAAAAACCACCACAUUACGGGUUAGAAUUGCACAUUGAUACCAGUCUACAUUUUUGUUGCUAAAACCCACCGAAUUUACUUAACCAUUCGCUUGCUCGCUUCUAACCUCAAAACUGACGAGGCAGGUCCACUGGUCAGGCCAACGUCACGUGCCAGCGUGUUCCACGGUAUCUCCCUUAUCUUCUCCCCGUGCUUAUCUUCGAGCCGCCGCCGCGUGGAGCCGUUGCUCCGGCCGCCGCUCCGCUUCCUUAUCUUCUCCCCGAGCAGCUCUUCCUCUCCCUCUCUUUUCCUCCUUCCUCCUUCUUUCGUCCUCAUUCGGUCAUUUCGAGCCGCCUCCUCCAACUCUGUCUAGCGCCCCUGCCUCCCCCCACCACCGCUGUCGCGCCUCCUUGGCGUCGCCUGCAAGAGCACGAGCAGCGCGUGGACAAGGUGGACCUGCCGCCCGCCCGCGUCCAUCUUCCCCGACUCCGGCCGUGCGCCGCCAAGCUCGCCGCCGCCGUGCCCGCACCUUCCCAAGCCUGAAGCCAAGUCUGGAAGCACCUCCACGCCGCCGUGGAUCCGUUGGUGCCCUCGGCCUCCGCCCCCGCUGCCCCGAGCGCCCCAGCCACGGUGACCCUCCGCCGCCGCACGAGAUCGCCGCCAUUAGCCCUCCUCCGACCGCUCUCUCGCUCCGCAGAUGACUGCAUAAGCUACGCCUUGCCGCGGCGGAGCUGACUCCGGUCUUUCCUCGACGAAUCGACCACCGGAGAUCCCCCGCGCGCCUUGUCUUCUCCAACUCCGGCGACGGCCGUGGCCGCCGGCGCGACCUUGCCUGCGCCUUCCUCCUCGCGCGGGCCCCUUCGUCCUCCGCGAGCUCGUUCUCCACCACGAGCCCGCGCCUGUAUGAGUCGCUACCCUCCAUUGCGAGCGAGCGCCGGCCGGGCGCCUUCAUCGCGUCCUUCGUGUCGCGCGUCGUGCUCUCCGUGGUGAAGCUGGAAGCGGUGGCGGAAAAUUGACAAGGAAGCCACGUCGCGCCGGCGGCCAGGCCGUUCUGUACUGCAGCGGCGCGGGUUCUUUCUUGGCUGCCCCGCUUAAAACUACGGAGAGGCCCACAAGAAUUUUUCUAGAGUAAUGAAUGCCCACAACAAUGAAUGGUGAGGCUAGCCGAGCACUUCAUGGCCCAUUACAGUUCUUGGCCCAGUUCAAAUACUGCUGCACCAUUGGCUUUUAGGAUCGAACGGCUUGGGAAGAAAUCCACAGGACGAUAUUCGAAAUUUCAGGCAACCAAGCCAUCAGGUAUAAACAAUCGAUUUAAUCUGGUUCUCAAAAAACAAAAACAAUCGAUUUAAUCUAUUAUUAUUCACAGAGACAGUUUAUUCCGUGUUCGCACCUAAUCAUCAGCUCUCUCUCUCUCUCUCUCUCUCUCUCUCUCUCACACACACACACACACACACACACACACACACACAGCAGAAGAAUUAUCAAGUGCAAUAAUACUGCAGCAGCAUGAUAUACCACCAACGUGUAAUCUCUAACAGGCUAACAACUCUAACCCCUGUCCGUGAAAAAAACUCUCUCUAGUGAUACCGUGCUAUGCUCUGUUCCCCGUUCAUGUCGCCUGACCCAUGGCCAGCGAGGCCAGUAUAAGCAGAGGGAGUAGAAUCUGCUGCGAAACCCAUCCUGCAAAUGAUAUAUCAAGGGAAAUAACAGCAAAUUAACUACAGUACCUACAACAGAUGAAGGUUUUCUCUAAAAAAAACAGAAGAUGAAGCCAUCCAGACAAUAUCUCAAGGAAAGUUACCUGGAGCAGGUGCAUGGCAGUUGUUAGAAGCACUAGCGGAGCCGGGUGGUGGUGGUGGAGUUUGUGAGUUUGUUGAUGGAAGGAUCCCGAUGCCCGCAC